rnacentral:lncRNA from 1 species
CGGUGCAACAAAAUAGGGACCCGAGCUAUCAGCCGAAUUUGUCACCACUGAGAAACAGUCCUUCGGGAACUCUGACCCAAAUUGUCAGCUUCAAAAUUUUCUAGCUAAUUCGAAAGCAUCAAAGUUUCCAUUUUUACUCAACUAAAAAAAAAGACUUACUAAUUUUUUGCCCUAAAUGGAUUUUUCCCCUUCAAGACCUUAAUGGAGAUAGGUGAAUUUUUCUCUCUUUUAUGACUUCCCUCAAAAUUUCGAAACCCCCUAAAAGAAAGAAAACCAAUAAAAAAAAAUCCUCCUGGAGAAAGGAAGAACCCCCUUUAUCGACCAAAAACAUCAAACCCUAGAGAAUAUCGUGACCUCCUAUUCCUCUCCUUUCUUGAACAAAGAACGAAGGUCCUCUUAUAUAGAGGACAAAAUUGGGGCGAUCUGGAUUUGAAAGAAGUAAACCCUCGGAUCUCAAAUUCCCCAAAAAAUUCUCCUCCUAGCCCCGUCUCUUAUCCUCGAUCGUAAGUCUUUUGGAUUUUUCUGAGAAAUUUGUGACGGGUGGACCAAUAGGGUUUGGGGAAAAUUCAUCCUUUUCAAGAACCAAUGGAAAGUGUACCAAUAUGUAUGAAAUAGUACCAUUCCAACCGAGAAAUGCGGUAUUGAGCCGUGGGAGAGGCCACCUAACCUCGUUUCUAGAAGAUUUGAGGCUUUUCCUCAUACAAAUGUUGCGUGAAACUCGUGUGGUGAGAGAAAAAAAACCAAUGGGCUAGGGCUGAGUCGAUUCGAAAAUGGGUUGGAUACGGGUUAAGGGUCGGGUUUGCUUUGAGUUAUUCAUAGAUGUUAGUGUUGAUGAGAUUAUUGUUUUGAUGAAGAAGAAAAGGAGAUAUGGGAAUGGGUCGGGUCAAUUGAUUUUGGAGUGGUCUUAUGUGAGAUUAAGAGAGAGAAUGGGCUAGGUUGUAAAUUGGGUUGGAAUAACUAUCAAAGUUUUGGGAUUAAUAAUGGGUAGAUUAGGUCAAUUUUGGGGUUAUUUUAGAAAAUAACCUCAAUUGAAUUGGGAAUUGUCUAAAUCUAUUUAAAUUUUUGCCAAAUUGAGAAUAAUUUGGCCCAUUGUAUUGCAAUCGGGGCCAAUUUGAUUUCGAUUAUAGCUAGAUUUAAUAGAUUAGCCAAAUUAAAUCAAAAUUCGAUACGAAUUUAUAUCUCACUCACUCCCGAGCUUCUCGGUUUAAUACAAUCAAAUGCAUAUUUAUCCAAAUAAAUUAUUUUCGAGAAUAAAUUAUAUUUAAAUUAAGAUUUUAAUUAUUAUUUUUUGAAAUGAUCCUUAAUUGAAAUUUGAUAUUUGUGAAAUAAACAUUUAAGUAAAAAAGUUAUAAUCUCGCAUAAUUGAAUGCGAUAAUAUAUAAUCGCUACAUAAAAUGAUAAAAUUACGUACAAAGUAUUUUGACAAAAAUUUAUUCGGAUGAAAUAAAUAUUUUAAUUUUAUUAACAACCGAAGAAGAUCAAAAUUGAACUUGGUUGUGGAGGACAAAAAUUAGGUGUCAACAACUGGCCCCUCCCUUUGGGUAGGGUGGAUGCAAGUAACCCUGGACAAGGGGAGAACGACGUUCCUAAUUUUUAUUCGACCACAAAUUCAUAUCUGAAAAGGGGUUGGUUUUUUCAUGAUUUUAUGGAUUUAUGGCCAGACCUCGGUAUCAGGCUUCCUACAUAUCUCAUAUUACAUGAGAAUUCAGGCCACUUGUAGUUCAUGGAGCUUGAUUUUAAGCACGAUUUUCACGAAAAUUCACCGCCUAUCACGGUUUUAGAGUUUUUGAUAAACCAAGAAGAUGGGGAAUAAAGGUAUUUGGGGGGAGGUUGUAAUGAAGUCGAGUUUUCUACAUAGAUCCCAGCUUACAUAUCCCUUGGAAUCGGGGAAUCAGACUGUUUGUAGUUCGACUCAAUCAGUAGAAAAGAUAGUCUUUUAUUUCAGACGAUCUUUGGCUCAAGAUAAGUGACAAGUUGAUCGAGUUGCGGAAAAGAUGCUUGUAACCUAUUAACCAUGAAUGUGGGAUCCUUCACAUCCAUAGGCAAGAAAUUACCUGGACAUAAUUACCAAAACUCUAAGUGUGUUGCCACCCAAAUUUGAAAAAAAAAGAAGGUUACCCUCGACAUGAGUUUAGAAAUAUCUCGAAGGUGAAGCUGAGACCAGAACUUCCUAAAAUACCCAUAUGCCUUCUAAUAGAGGCGUGGUUAUAUGGUGGUGGUGAUCAUCAUUUAGCUUACGUCCAGAGAGUUUGACGUCCCUCUCUAGACUAUGUCCCGUUUUACCGCUAAGAGAGAGUUCCACGUUACAUUGCAUCCUUUUUGGAGUCGUCCGCAACUGUGGUUUUGAUUUGAGAUUUUCAUCCUCUCGGAUUCUCUCGACAAUAUCUCAAACAGAAAUCAUCAGUAAUAAGCACAAUUCACAAAAGAGGUAUGUGGUAUUUUCCCAUAUCUCUACGUGAGUUGUUGUCUAAAAAGUGAAGUCAUCUCUUCUUGUACCUGUUUGGAAGAAAUAACUUGUAGUAACAAGCACAACAACCUUCUUGAUUGUUUCAUAAUUAGCUCGUUUGUCGAGCGAACAUGUCUUAAAAGUGGGUGGCCCGUUUGGACACCACGAUACUUUAUAUAGAACGGUCCCUACAACCGUGUAAUCUUAUGCUGGGGUGGUAACCCUUUUGGUUACCUAUAUCACUUGUUGUACGUGGAAAAAUAACCUCCCUAGUUAUAGAUGAUGAUCUAUUUAUAAAUUUUCCUUAAAUUGUCAAUCUUUGGAUAAUCUUUCGCAUUAUUUGACGUUGGAUACGAGGCGACUUACAAAUAUCCUUUGAAUUGCUAGCUUUUAGGUAAUCCUGCAUAUUAUCCGACUUUGGAUAAGAGAUGGCUUACAGAUAUCCCUCCAAUUGCUAGCUUUCAGGUGUUCCUACACAUCAUCCGACCUUGGAUACAAUAUGAAUUAUAGAUAAUCUCUCAAAUUGUUAGUCUUUGGGUAAUCCUGGACAUAAUCAAUCUUGGAUAUGACGCGGCUUAUAGAGAACCCUUGGACGUAUCAAUUUGAUAAUCUUGCAUAUUCUCCGGUAAGGAUUUAGUUGCGACUUACGGAUAACCUUUGAACUAUCAAUUUUUGGGCGAUCUUGCACACUAUUCGGUACGGAUGCUGUUGUGUCUUACGGAUGACCUACAGGUUACCAACUCAUAGGUAAUUUAGCGCACUAUCCUAUUUCAAAUAAUAUGACUUAUAGAUGACCCUCAAAUUGUCAAUUUCCAAGAAACCUUAUAUAUCAGUCAUCCUUAGAUAGUGACUUAAAGGCGUCCCUUCAAAUCGUGUGCUCUCGAUGCAUUCAGAUGCUGAUUCAUGAAAAUAUUAUGAUAUCCUUGACACCAGCAUUGCAUCUAGCGCGUCAACAGAUAUAUUAAAUGCUGAUGAUAUCAUCGACCCCAGCGUUGUGUCUAGCGCAUCAAUAGAUAUUGAAUGACGAUGAUAUCCUUGAUGCCAACAUUGUGUCUAGUGUGUCAACAGAUAUUGAAUGCCUUCUGGGGCAAUGGUAUGGGAUGUCCUAUGAGGCAAUGAUAUGAAAUGGCCCUUGCGGCAAUGAUAUGAGAUUGCCCUGGCGGCAAUGAUAUGUAAUGGCCUUUACGUCAAUGAUACGUAAUGGCCUUCACGACAAUGAUAUGCAAUGGCCUUUGUGGCAAUGAUAUGCAAUGGACUUUGCGGCAAUGAUAUGUAAUGGACUUCGCGUAAAUGAUAUGCAAUGGCCUUCGCGGCAAUGAUAUGCAAUGGCCUUUGCGGCAAUGAUAUGUGAUGGCCUUUGCGAAAAUGAUAUGUAAUGGCCUUUGCGGCAAUGAUAUGCAAUGGCCUUUGCGGCAAUAAUAUGUAAUGGCCUUUGCAGCAAUGAUAUGUAAUGACCUUUGUGGCAAUGAUAUGCAGUGGCUCUUUUUCCAAAUUUUAAAAUAAUUUUACCUGACUUCAUUUGUCAGCGUCUUGCUUUCGACAUGUACCUGUACUCAAGGUAGACGAUUAGUAGACACAAAGUCGCUUUUUCUAGAGGUUGUUUUUAGAAAAAUUCUAAAUACAAUAUUUGUAAAGAAGACAAGACACUUUUGUUUGUCCUCCAUGAUCAUAAGAAAUGAGAUGGACACUUCAAAAGGUCUUCAAUAUAUGGGUACUAAACCCAUUUUUAGGGCUACCCAAAAAUACCAUUCUUGAGCAUUAGUGCUCUGGUUUGGCUCCCAAUUUGCUCGGGGCUUUUUGAAGGAGACUCUCAUUUUUGUGUAUUGGUCCCUAGACCCACAGAAAAUGAUUAGUUUGAGUGAAACUACUCCGUGUUGACCUCUUUCAAUCCUUGAUUUGCCCCCUCCCCCCGCCAUAUUUCAGGUACUUUGUCAUGUUGGGACUUCCACCUAUGAAUACCCAUCCCAAUUGAUGUCUAGGCAAUCACUAAGUCAAAGAUUUAUAUAGAUUUUUUAAAGUAGUUUUAAUUUUUAGAAGAUAGUUUUGAAAGCUUAUAUAAAACUUUAGAAGAUCUCUUCCAGUCAUGUCAUGUAAUAGCUCAACAAACAUCUGCCUCUUGAUUUUAACUAUAUAUGAUGGAGGAUUUCUAAAACUCAUCAUCCUUAUUGGAGUGUUCUUCAAAUAGUUCUGUCAUAGCCAGAAAUUGAGUCUACCUAGACUUUGUCACAAUUGGUGGCUUCAAGAGAUUGGCUUAAACCUCCGGUGCUGGGGAAUUUGAAAUAUAUUCCAGUAUUUGGUGGAAAUUUUGAGGCCUCCCUCAAAAUUUCAGUCCUAGUUUAGAGUAGUCUGAUAUGAUAUCAUCUUGAGUGGAUCUGAAGCCUUUGCUGAUCUUCUUUCUCUUUGUUGGAUGUUGAUCUUCUCUUGUGAAUUGUUGAGAUUCCUUCUCCAAAAUUCUGCCCCAGUUUCCAUUUCCUGGGGUUAUAUGACUGAGCCGUUGAGGAGCCUACGUAUCCCGUUGAAGCAGUAAUCAGGUCAAACAUAGUUCAAGCUACGCUAGGGAUAUAUAUAGAAAAAUCUAAUGGGUUGACCGAAGCCGACAUAGGCCGCCUAUGUAUCUCAUUCUUGAGAAUUCAAGUCAUCACGUAGUUCAUACAUAAAGGAAAAGGAUAAAUUUUCCUAAGGGGUUGACCGAAACCGACGUAGGCCACCUACGUAUCCCUUUCUUGGGAAUUUAGGUCAAACGUAGUUCGUACAUAGAGGGAAAGGAUUCUAGGCAGUUACAUACUAGAAAACAACAUUACUAUGAAUGCGAUUACAAGUAAAUUAAGUAAAGAAACACGAAAACUAGAACAUCCUUCAAACAUAAUAUCUCUUUACCACAUCAGAAUUAAUUGGUUUGGUCCACUCUGUGUCAUCCAUCUCAGAAAAAAUCAGAGCUCCUCCAGAUAGUACCUUGCAAACUAUGUAUGGCCCUUCCCAGUUUGGAGCGAACAUACCCUUGUACUCCUAUUGGUGAGGGAAUAUUCGUUUGAGAACCAAUUGCCCCACUUCAAAUGUUCGAGCUCUCACAUUCUUGUUAAAGGCACGAACCAUUCUGUGUUGGUACAACUGCCCAUGGCAUAGAGCGGCCAUUCUUUUUUUAUCAAUCAACAUGAGUUGUUCAUAGCGAGCGUGGACCCAUUCUUCAUUACGCAGUCCAGCUUCCUGAAUAAUCCUUAGGGAAGGUAUUUCAACGUCAGCAGGUAUCACAACUUCAUUCCCGUAAACUAGUAACUAGGGAGUUGCCCCGGUGGAGGUUUGAGCCAUUGUUUGAUACCCUAGCAAGGCAUAAGGUAACAUCUCAUGCCAUGAUCUAUCAUUUUCGACCAUUUUUAUCAAGAUUUUCUUGAUAUUCUUGUUGUCAGUCUCCACGUCUCCAUUCAUUUAGGGACGAUAUACAGUUGAGUUGUGAUGCAUAAUCUUGAACUAAUCACAAAUUUCUUUCAUCAAGUGACUUCUCAAGUUUGCCCCAUUAUCAGUAAUGAUCGAUUUCGGUACUCCGAAUUGGCAAAUCAAGUUAUUCCUGAUGAUAUCUUCAACCACUUUCUUAGUGACGGCUCUGUACGAAGAAGCUUCGACCCACUUAGUGAAAUAAUCAAUGGCAACCAAAAAAAAUCUAUUCCCAUUCGAUGCUAAUGGCUCUAUUGGUCCGAUGACAUCCAUACCCCAAGCUACGAAAGGCCAAGGCGAGUUCAUUGCGUGAAUCUCGUGUGGAGGCAUUCGAAUAAGACCUCCGUGUAUUUGACAUUUUGGACAUCUCUGCACUUACUUACUACAAUUAUUUUCCAUAGUCAUCCAGAAGUAACCGGUUCUUAGGAUCUUUCUGGCAAGGACGAACCCAUUCAUGUGGGGCCCACAAACUCCAGCGUGUACUUUUUUUAUCAGUUUAUCAGUUUUCACAGCAUUGACUCAUCUUAAGAAUCCCAAAUCAGGAGUCCUCCUAAAAAGGAUUUCUCCAUUUGGAAAAUAGUUCUUUGCCAAACGCCGGAUCGUCUUCUUUUGGUUGUUACUGGCCUCUUCAGGAUAUAUUCCAGAUUCUAAAUACCUUUUAAUGUCAUAGUACCAAGGCUUUCCAUCAGGCUCCUCUUCAACGUGUGUACAAUGCGCGGGUUGCUCCUUCAAGAUAAUUUCCAAAGGAUCAAUGUAACACUGAUCUGGGUGCUGAAUUAUGGAAAAUAUAGUGGCCAAAGCAUCAGCAAACUCAUUUUGUAUCCGAGGGAUAUGUCUGAAAUCAACUUCUCUGAAUCUUUCACAUAAUUCUUGCACCAUCACCACAUAAAGAGUAAUCUUGGGAUUUUUUAUUGCCCAUUCUCCCCGUACCUGGUGAAUCAGUAAAUCUAAAUCCCUGAUUACUAACAACUCACAAAAAACCAUAUCAAGUGCCAAUUUGAGACCCAGGAUGCAAGCCUCAUAUUCAUCCAUGUUAUUGGUGCAGUGGAAACAUAACUUUCCAGUUACCGGAUAAUAUUGGCCCAUUUCUAACACCAAAACUGCUCUGAUUCCUGAACCUUUAAAGUUGACUGCCCCAUCAAAGAAUAGCCUCCAUCCGGGGCAAAUCUCUGUGAUAUCUUCCCCUACGAACAAAAUUUCCUCGUCUAGGAAGUAAGUUCGAAGUGGCUCGUAUUCCUCAUCAACUGGAUUUUUUGCCAAAUGAUCCACUAAGGCUUGCCCCUUGAUUGCCUUCUGGGUUACGUACACAAUGUCAAACUCACUUAGGAAUAUUUGCCACUUGGCUAGCUUUCCUAUAGGCAUGUCCUUCUGAAAAAUAUACUUCAAUGGGUCCAUUCUCAAGAUGAGGUAUGUUGUGUAGGACGAUAGAUAAUGCCUCAAGUUUUGUGCUGCCCAAGUCAAAGCACAACAUGUCCUUUCUACAAGAGUGUAACGGGCUUCAUAUGGCAUGAACUUUUUACUCAAGUAUUAAAUGGCUUUCUCUUUUCUGCCGGUCUAAUCAUGUUGCCCGAGGACAAAUCCGAAAGCAUUUUCUAAGAAUAACAGGUAAAGCAACAAUGGAAGCAACAAUUGAGUUCCUUCUCUUGGUGGUACCAAAACCGAAAAUAUUCCUUGAUAAGGUCAAAAGCUCUCUGAUAUUCUUCUGUCCACUCAUUCAAUGCAUUUUUCUUUAGCAUCUUGAGAAUUGGAUCGCAUAUGACUGUCGACUGAGCGAUAAAAUGGCUAAUGUAAUUCAAACAACCCAUGAAAAUCAUAACUUCCUUCUUGGUUGUCGGUGGUGGCAAGUCCUGUAUUGUCUUAAUUUUAGAUGGGUCUAACUCUAUGCCUCUUCUGCUGACUAUGAACCCCAGAAACUUCCUUGAUGGCACACCAAAAGCACACUUAGCAGGGUUUAAAUUCAAACAGUACUUUCUUAAUCAGUUGAAGAAUCUUUCUAGAUGGGUCAGAUGAUCCAAAAUCUUGCGGGAUUUGAUAAUUACGUCAUCCACGUACACCUCAAUCUCUUUAUGGAUCAUAUCAUAGAAAAUGGUCGUCAUAUCCCUCAUAUAAGUUGCACCCACAUUCUUGACACCAAAUAGCAUUACCCUAUAAUGAUAGACACCCCAAGGCGUAAUAAAAGCCAUCUUUUCUGCAUCUUCCUCAUCCAUUAACAUCUAAUGAUAGCCAGCAAAACAAUCAACAAAAGACAGCAUUUUAUGCUUUGUUCAAUUAUCAAUGAGGAUAUGAAUGUUGGGCAAUGGAAAAUUAUCUUUAGGACUGGCUCUAUUCAAGUUUUUGUAGCCAACACAAAUGCGAAUCUUGCCAUCCUUCUUUGGUAUGGGGACGAUGUUGGCUAACCACGUCGGAUACUUUGUGACCUCUACUGCCGUAGACUGGAUUUAUUUCAUCACUUCUUCCUUUAUCUUUAAACUUAAGUCUGGCUUGAACUUCUGCAUAUUUUACUUGACUGGAUCAAACUCAGAAUUUAUUGGCAACUUAUGUGACACAAUGCUGGUGCUAAACCCUGGCAUAUUAUCAUAGGACCGAGCAAACACGUCAAUAUAUUCCCAAAAUAGGUGAAUGAGCUCUCUCUUUUGUGCUUCUGCUAGGUGGACACUGAUGCUUGUUUCUUUGGUUUCAUCAUGAUCUCUGAGGUUGACUGUUUCAGUUUCCUCUAGGUUAGGUUUUUCCCGAUUCUCAAACUCCUCCAUAUCUUCAACUAAUUGUUCCUCAUCACCGUCCUUUCAAUCAUCAUCGUUCCCUUUAUUUUGUUUGUUUAAACUUUGACAUGACAUAACAUUGGCAGAUUUUAAGUUGUUAUUACUAUAAGGGACAAACAAACCAAGUUAGAUGAUGACAAAAUAAUAACAAAAUAUACGACUAGGAGUGUUCUAGAAAUAAUAAAAUUUUCUUAAUAGAUGAAGGCCUUUUCAUUGAAAUUUGAGAGCUAAUUACAAAACCAUAGCUCAUGACUUUUGCAAAUACAAGUCCAUGCCUUUUUUAAAGUAGUAAAAUACGAAAAGAAAGUUUUGAGAUAUAAAAAGUGGAUCGCAGGGCCUCCGCCAGAUCAUUACUGAUUUUAAAAACUAUUAGUAAUUUUCCUUUCACCUACCACGACGGGUGACAGGUUAUGAGUGGAGUGGAGGUCCAAUUUUACAAGGCCUCCCCUGGCGCCAUCUUCUUCAACCCACUGGAUUUUGGGAAAUCUUCUGAUACAGCAUUGCAUCCCUCGAACAAAUCUCCUAUCCUAUCCCCAAGACCAUCAUCAUCUGACACCUCUCGUACAGGAAAUGACUGGCACAGGAGUGGCAAGGUACUAAACAAACUUCUUUCUAACUCAUCCUCAACCCUAUCCUUCCUGGUAGACUGAUAUCCUAUCAUCGCAGCCAGGUUCUUUACACACGACCCUGCGGGAAUAUAUGCUUUAUCCAAGACCUUCGAUAAAGCUUAUCGGUGGUAUUGCAAACUCAUUAAUAGUACCAAGACAGAGAUUUGAGCUAGUGUCUUCUCUAAAUGUUUGACAAUUGAAUAAUCUUUGGAUUGCAUACGCCUCCAAAAUUCUUCAGCCUCUCCUUCAGUGAUUGGCCUUCUCUGUGAAUCCCUUUUGUUGGUGAAUUCCUCUGGGAUGUAGCAUCGUCCCAAUCGUAUCAUCACUUGGGCAGCAACGGUCUACACAAUAAAUUUUUCCUUGGCGGGGGAGCGUACACUUGAGUUGGUACGGUCAUCACUGUAAAUGGGUCUUUCUCAUUGAUACUCAAGGUAUCCAGAACCUUCUCUAUCUUUCUUACCUUUUCUGCUCUUUUACAUUUUUCAUAGUUCACUUGGGUAAUGGUCUUGCCAGAUGCCCAUUUGCCCUCUAUUUGAAUCAUGUUAACUGUAGAUCCCCCAUGGUUAGGCAAUGGAUUACUGUUAACAUUUGGUGUAGGUGCCUGGAGCGUGAUGACUUUUUGAUCGAUUAAAUUUUGGAUCCUAUGUUUCAGGUAGCCACAAUCCUCUGUAUUGUUCCCCGCUGCUCCUGAAUGAUAGGCACAAUGUUGACUUGCAUCAAAAAAUCGAGAGUUAGUAUUGACAUUCCUUGGCUGUAUUGGUUGCAAAUGACUAGCAUUCUUCAAUCUUUCAAACAAUUGGGUGCGACUUUCAGCUAGUGGGGUGAAGUUUUAAGGAAGGUUCUUUUCAUGGUUUGGACGUUGGGGGUUGUACUGUCUUUGAUAUGUAGGAAGAGGUACUUGGUGAUAAUUUUGAGGCACUAGGAAAUUUGUUCGGUUAUUUGAAGGAGUGGAUUGGAAAUGAGACUAAUAAUUUGGAGGAAGAGCUGGGUAUUGGGGAAAGAUAUUUAUCUAUGGAUCUUGGUAUAAGGAUUAGAUGUUUGGGAGUGGAGUUUGGUACUGAUGUUGGGCAUUUGAGAGUGGAGCUAGGUAUUGGGGGUAGGCGUAGAACACGUGCUGAAGGUUGGGUGACGGCGGAGAAGAUAAAACAUUUCUUGAGUUGAACCUCUUUUUUGUUUUCGCAAUAGGAUUAGCAAAAAUCACACCUACAUCUUCCUUUUUCUUCUUUGAGAACAUGACGGUCCCAGAUGACGUUGGGGUUUUGGCAAUUUUCCCUGUUCAAAUACCUUCUUCCAAUGAUGCUUCUAUUUUUACCAAAUCCACAAAAGUUGCCCUGACAGCGGACACCAUCCUGGAGUAAUAUUCUCCUUAUUGAGUGUGAGAGAACACGGAUAUGAUUCUCUCCUCGGACAUGGGGGGUUGUACUUUGGCGACUUCUUUCCUCUAACGAAAAGCAUAGUCUCAAAAAAUCUCAACAUUUCUCUGUUUGAUCUGAUCUAGUGAAUAUCGGUCAGGGACUAUUUCAUUGUUAAAUGCGAACCGGUCAAGGAAACCUUUGGCCAAUGCUUUCCAACCAGUCCACUUUUUCAGCUCCUGAGACAUGAACCACUCCAAGGCUUCGCCACUUAAACUUCGACUGAAUAGGCACAUCAAUAUCGCCUCAUUUUUCCCUAUCCCUACCAGUUGCUUACAGUACCUUCUCAGAUGGGCCAUUGGAUUUUCGGUACCAUGAAACAUCUCAAACUUAAGGACUUUGUACCCAUCUAGUAGGUCAACUCCCGGGUGAACACAUAAAUCGUCAUACCCCAAACCAUCGUGGUCCCUGGCUCCAUGAGACUCUUUGAUCCUCAUGAUCUUUUCCUUCAUAGCUAGUAAAUUCCUUUUAUAUUAGAUCCUCCACUUUUUCUCCUUCUCCUCGUAAUGGUCCAUCUCGGGGUUAGGAAGAGGUUCAUAAAUAUAAGAGGAUAUGAUGGAUUAAGGGGGAUUCGGAAGGGAGACUUAAUUUUGUGGAUGAAACAAAGUGGGUUCGUAGGUGGGGCGGACAUUAUGAAAAUUAGAAAGGUUUUAUGGAAUUUGAGAGUGGUUUUGUGGAAACUGAGAAGGAUUUUGCAUAUUUGGAAAUGAAUUUGGUGGAUUCGAAGGUAGGUUUGACGUAUUUUGUGGGUUUGAGAGUGAAUCUUGCGGAUUUGGCAAUGCAUUUUGUUGAUUUAAAAAUGUGUUUAGAGGAUUUGGGAAUGGAUUUGGAGACGGGUUCUGCGGGGUUAGAGAUGGAUUUUGCGGAGGGUAGGCAUCUGGGUUAUUUUUACGAUUGGUAUUUUGGAAAAAUGGGGGAGCGGAGAUGGACGAUAUGUUAUUUGGCUGAUCCCCAAGAGUAGGGGUGCUGAGGGGAGGAAUUUGUAGUGGAGUCCCGUGUCCUCCCGAAGCGAGAACAUUGACGGUGGUGGCCAAGUUAGCUAAAUCUCGAGUGCGAUUUAUUUCUUCCUGAAGCAUUUCUAACUUUCUUGCAAGUUCCUCAAUCAUCUCAUUUUGUCCUGCUAUCACAUUGUUCUGGUUAGUCAGUGUGCUUUCUUCAUCAUUUCCUAUCAUUUUUGAAUGAUGGUCAGAUGAUGGGUUUUUGUCCACUUUCGAGCGGGUGAAGUAGGGAUGUUCUGCCAUCUUAUAUCAACAUAGAGUAAUUUCUAUUAUCUAUAAAGUAAAACAACUCAAAGGCAGAUGUGUUAGUUUCCGUGUAUGAUAAGUAAUACAAAAUAUUUGACAGGAAAUAACCACAUAGAGUUGUUUGGGUCACAGGCAAAUUCAUCCAUAGGAGCAUAACGGAUAAACUUGCUUUUGAUCCAAACAAGCACACAUGACAGUUAUAUUACACAAAACAUUAUAAUAAUGCGUAUCCAAACAGGGGUUACCCUUUUUGAGCCAAUAGUUUAGGCCUAAUGAUUUUGAAGAAAAUAUAUGCUUUCUUAAAGUCAAUUCGUUAUCCCCCAACUUAUAUAGACACAGAAAGGGCAAAAAUGCCUAUAAAAGAUAACGAAAUAGGAAUACAAUCUUUAGGGGGAAAAGGGGAAAAAAACCUGAAAGAGAAUAAGUUCCCUUGCAGGGGAAAUAGAAAAACUAGCUACUAGAGGCUCCUUCGUCUGCCUUUGCCUUCUUUGCCUCAUCCAUUUCUUUUAUUGGUGACAUCCGUUGACAUUCAAAUUGUGCCUUAGAUGCAACCUCCUAAAUCUAUCAAUUUCUUGCUUAUCUUGCUUCAAUUCUUCUUACAAAAGUAAACAAAUCAAGCUUUUUCCCGACACCCAAAGGAUAAUGGAUUAAAUUUAGACAAGCAUGUAUUUUUCUCAACACAUAAAUUUCAUUCCUCUGUAAUUAGCUCGAGGUCAAUAGACGCAGGGCAGGUUUUCUAAUGGGCCCAAUACCCCGCUCGGGUAUUGGGUUGUCCUAGGCUCAUGCCUAAAAGAGGGUUUUGAUUUCUUUCUAUCCUCGGUGUCUAAAGUGGGUUUGAACACCAGUUCUCAAGUGGACAACUUGAGUUUGAAAAUACAAACAGCUAUCAGACGACUCACGUGCUAAUAAACUGUUUGUAUUUCCAACACAUUUUUGGAAUUGAUCAUAGGGGCUGGGAUUCCCACGAAACCCAAAAACAAUUUAAAUAAUGUAGGAAUAUGCCAUGAGAUGCGAUAGUUAAACUUUACAAAAUCGAAGCGUAUAAACACAUAAACAGUUAAUCAAAAGAAGAAAUUAAACAAUUGGUUAGAACCUAGUUCAAAAAUCUCCAGCAGAGUCUCGUCAUUUCUGUUUUACGAAGAAAUUUUGACUUUUUGAGAAAAGUUGCCACUUAAUUUUGAAAAGGAAUUAAGAAACCUUUAUAAAGUACUUCAAAUGAUUCAAAAUAGGAAAAUCAUUUUAAGUUAGAGAUUCUAGAUAAGCAGUUCCUAUUAACGUUUUAGGAAGGUGUUAGGCACCUAAAACGUCCGCUAACUUACGGUUAUCCGAACUGUUCGAAAACAUCUUUGAUUAACUUUCUAAAAUUUGAUUUAUUGAAAAAUGGUUGAAUUUUAGAAAUACUUUGAAAGUUUGCAAAAUUUAAUUUUUAGCGAAUUCAUUAGGGGAUUUGACUAAGUUUGCAAAAAGACAUGCAAAACAAAUAACCAAAAAGAAAGGGGAAGGGAGGAGAAGUAGUGAUUUAGGCUUUGAAGCCCAAAUCGCUAAACCUGUCCUAAUCUAGUAGGGUUGUCAACCCAUUUCUCCUUUCACCUGUCUUAAUUCUAUGUUUUUAAGCCUUUAGAUCGAAUUUUGCCUCCACCUGUAUUAAAUACAAUUUGGCUUCGAGACCCAAAUGAAUAAAUGAGAAAAUAAACAAAUAAAUAAACAAAGAUGAAAUAAACAACAAAUGAAAUUUUUGGGUCUUGUAGCCGAUUCUAAUGGGUUUAAUCCUUCUUAUUUUUUUCUUUGACUCCUUGCAAGCGUACUAAUGGGCGUUCAAAGUCUUCUAAACUGGUGGGCCUCAAUGGCCCAUUGCAAAAAUGUGGAAGGAAGGAGUCCAUUCAGACUCAGAGAAUAAAUUCACAUGCAACAAAGAAAAAAGAGGAAAUUAACACAUAUCUGGAAUACAAAGACAGAAGUAAAGAAAUUAACCUAUGUUCAAAAGCUGACACCUAAUGAAUGACUAACUAAAAAAGACAUGGGAAGACAUUAUGGCAUAUAAUAAAAUUCACAUUAGUCUAAUCUCUCUGUUUUCAUUCGGGAACAACUAAUAUGUUGCUAUGAGAAUCUUUUGGCGACCUCAGAUGCUACAAGAAAUAUGUCGUACCAAGGUUCAGGAAGCUAAAGAAAAUUAAAACCAUAUAGUUCACUCCAAGUUUUUAGUAAAUGAAGCAAACAACUUGUAAUUCAAACAUUACACAAGAAAAGUCCGCAUAAAGUAAGAAUAAAAUAUGAAUGAAUCAAUUCGACAAGGAUUGUACAUGGAUCGAAACUCACUAGGCUAGCAUGUGAAUUACUAGCAGUAAACAAGCGUGUUAUGCCAGAAAUAGGGGAGAAGAGAACAAUGAUAACCAAACUCACAAGUGUAUCCCAGGGAGGUAAACCAAUUGGGUGCCAUACUUGUUCGGAAUUAAAAAAAACUCACUUAACUAAACUUUACAUAUUUUUAUUUAUGCAUUGAACAAACAUGACAUCAAAAUUCUCAAAAAGGACUAAAUCAGAUUGCUAGACAAGACACGCGAGACAAAUCAAGUUUUGACAAGAACGGCCUUAAUUCCAAACCCCAAAAGAUUUUCGAACGUAUUACUUAGGUGGAAAAAUUAAAAUAUUGGCGUUUAGACAUCACAGAAGAAUAAAAAGAUCUUCUAUUAUCAAAACAUUCACUGGAUAUUCAAUUUAUUAAAUGAUAUCGCAUUCUUGAGAAAAGAAAUCAGAGAAAGGAAAACUACUCAAAACGGACAUUUUAAAGGAUCUUCUUGACAUCUUUGGAGGGUAAACCUUCCGCUUAUUUUGACAUUAGCCAUUAAAGACAACAUGAUGAAUAUUUUAUCUUGUUGAAACAAUGAAAAGACAGGAUGGACCAAACAUGCGUAAGACUCCAAACAUUUUCUACAAAAGAAAAAUCAAAGAGGAUAUGAAAUUUGCACUGCNNNNNNNNNNNNNNNNNNNNNNNNNNNNNNNNNNNNNNNNNNNNNNNNNNNNNNNNNNNNNNNNNNNNNNNNACAGUUGAAAUUAAUUGAAUAUCACAACGUGAACAUCAGCGCAACCAAACCUAUGGCCUUCAGGGCCUCUAAAACAUUCAAAACCCAGCCUUAUUCAUGAUUGUCACUAAACAAUUAAACUAAUUCUAUAGAGAGAAAAUAAGGGAUGAAGCAGAAAGUGACGAAGCUAAAAGAACAAGAGUAUGCUCACCUCUUUGGGUGCAGCAAAAUAGGGACCCGAGCUAUAAGCCGAAUUUGUCACCACUGGGAAACAAUCCUUUGGGAACUCUAACCCAAAUUGUCAGCUUUGAAAUUUUCUAGCUAAAUCGACAGCUUCAAAGUUUCCAUUUUUACUCAACUAAAAAAAGACUUUUACUGAUUUUUUGCCCUAAAUGGAUUUUUCCUUUCAAGACCUUAAUGGAGACAGGUGAAUUUUUCGCUCUUUUACAACUUCCCUUAAAAUUUCGAAACCCCCUAAAAGAAUGAAAACCAAAAAAAAUCCUCCUGGAGAAAGGAAGAACCCCCAUUAUCGACCAAAAACUUCAAACCCUAGAGAAUAUCGUGACCUCCCUUUCCUCUCCCCUCUUGAACCAAGAACGAAGGUCCUCUUGUAUAGAGGACAAAAUUGGGGCCUUCCGUAUUUGAAAAAAGGAAACCCUCAGAUCUAAAAUUCCCCAAAAAAUUCUCCUCCCAUCCCCAUCUCGUAUCCUCGAUCAUACUCCUUUUGUAUUUUCCUGAGAAAUUUGUGAUGGGUGGACCAAUAGGGUUUCGGGAAAAUUCAUCCUUUUCAAGAACCAAUGGAAAGUGUACCAAUAUGUACGAAAUAGUACCAUUCCAACCGAGAAACGUGGUAUUUAGCCAUUGGAGAGGCCACCUAACCUCGUUUCUAGAAGAUUUAAGGCUUCUCCUUGUACAAAUAUUGUGUGAAACAUGUAUGGAGAGAGAAAAAAACUGAGGGGCUAGGGAUGAGUCGAUUCGAAAAUGGGUUGGAGACGGGUUAACGGUCGGGUUUGCUUUUAGUUGUUCAUAGGUUAUAGUGUUGAUGAGAUUAUUGUUUUGAUGAAGAAGAAAAGGAGAUAUGGGAAUGGGCCGGGUCAAUUGAUUUUGGAGUGGGCUUGUGUGAGAUUAAGAGAGAGAAUGGGCUAGGUUGUAAAUUGGGUUGGAAUAACUAUCAAGGUUUUGGGAUUAAUAAUGGGUAGAUUAGGUCAAUUUUGGGGUUAUUUUAGAAAAUAACCUCAAUUGAAUUGGGAAUUGUCUAAAUCUAUUUAAAUUUUGGCCAAAUUGAGAAUAAUUUGGCCCAUUGUACUUCAAUCGGGGCCAAUUUGAUUUCGAUUAUAGCUAGAUUUAAUAGAUUAUCCAAAUUAAAUCAAAAUUCGAUACGAAUUUAUAUCUCACUCACUCCCGAGCUUCUCAGUUUAAUACAAUCAAAUGCAUAUUUAUCCAAAUAAAUUAUUUUCGAGAAUAAAUUAUAUUUACAUUAAGAUUUAAAUUAUUAUUUUUUGAAAUGAUCCUUAAUUGAAAUUUGAUAUUUGUGAAAUAAAAAUUUAAGUAAAAAAGUUAUAAUCUCGCAUAAUUGAAUGCGAUAAUAUAUAAUCGCUACAUAAAAUGACAAAAUUACGUAGAAAGUAUUUUGACAAAAAUUUAUUCGGAUGAAAUAAAUAUUUUAAUUUUAUUAACAACCGAAGAAGAUCAAAAUUGAACUUGGUUGUGGAGGACAAAAAUUAGGUGUCAGCAACUGGCCCCUUCAUUUGGGUAGGGUGGAUGCAAGUAACCCUGGACAAGGGGAGAUUGACGUUCCUAAUUUUUGUCCGACCACAAAUUCAUAUCUGAAAAGGGGUUGGUUUUUUCAUGAUUUUAUGGAGUUAUGGCCGGACCUCGGUAUCAGGCUUCCAACAUAUCUCAUAUUACAUGAGAAUUCAGGCCACUUGUAGUUCAUGGAGCUUGAUCUUAAGAACGAUUUUCACGAAAAUUCACCGCCUAUCACGGUUUUAGAGUUUUUGAUAAACCAAGAAGCUGGGGAAUAAAGGGAUUUGGGGGGAGGUUGUAAUGAAGUCGAGUUUUCUACAUAGAUCCCGGCUUACAUAUCCCUAGGAAUCGGGGAAUCAGACUGCGUGUAGUUUGACUCAAUCGGUAAAAAAGAUAGUCUUUUAUUUCAGAUGAUCUUUGGCUCAAGAUAAGUGACAAGUUGAUCGAGUUGCGGAAAAGAUGCUUGUAACCUAUUAACCAUGAAUGUGGGAUCCUUCACAUCCAUAGGCAAGAAAUUACCUGGACAUAAUUACCAAAACUCUAAGUGUGUUGCCACCCAAAUUUGAAAAAAAGAAAAGGUUACCCUUGGCAUGAGUUUAGAAAUAUACCGAAGGUGAAGCUGAGACCAGAACUUCCUAAAAUACCCAUAUGCCUUCUAAUAGAGGUGUGGUUAUAUGGUGGUGGUGAUCAUCAUUUAGCUUACGUCCAGAGAGUUUGACGUCCCUCUCUAGACUAUGCCCCGUUUUACUGCUAAGAAAGAGUUCCACGUUAUAUUGCAUCCUUUUUGGAGUCGUCCGCACCUGUGGUUUUGAUUUAAGAUUUUCAUCCUCUCGGAUUCUCUCGACAAUAUCUCAAACAGAAAUCAUCCGUAAUAAGCACAAUUCACAAAAGAGGUAUGUGGUAUUUUACCAUAUCUCUACGUGAGUUGUUGUCUAAAAAGUGAAGUCAUCUCUUCUUGUACCUGUUUGGAAGAAAUAACUUGUAGUAACAAACACAAAAACCUUCUUGAUUGUUUCAUAAUUAGCUCGUUUGUCGAGCGAACAUGUCUUCAAAGUGGGUAGCCCUUUUGGACACCACGAUACUUUAUACAGAACGGUCCCUACAACCGUGUAAUCUUAUCCUGGGGUGGUAACCCUUUUGGUUACCAAUAUCACUUGUUGUGCGUGGAAAAAUAACCUCUCUAGUUAUAGAUGAUGAUCCAUUUAUAAAUUUUCCUUAAAUUGUCAAGCUUUGGAUAAUCUUUCGCAUUAUUUGACGUUGGAUACGAGGCGACUUACAAAUAUCCUUUGAAUUGCUAGCUUUUAGGUAAUACUGCAUAUUAUCCGACUUUGGAUAAGAGAUGGCUUACAGAUAUCCCUCCAAUUGCUAGCUUUCAGGUGUUCCUACACAUCAUCCGACCUUGGAUACAAUAUGAAUUAUAGAUAAUCUCUCAAAUUGUUAGUCUUUGGGUAAUCCUGGACAUAAUCAAUCUUGGAUAUGACGCGGCUUAUAGAGAACCCUUGGACGUAUCAAUUUGAUAAUCUUGUAUAUUCUCCGGUAUGGAUUUAGUUGCGACUUACGGAUAACCUUUGAACUAUCAAUUUUUGGGCGAUCUUGCACACUAUUCGGUUAGGAUGUUGUUGUGUCUUACGGAUGACCUAUAGGUUACCAACUCAUAGGUAAUUUAGCGCACUAUUCUAUUUCAAAUAAUAUGACUUAUAGAUGACCCUCAAAUUGUCAAUUUUCAAGAAACCUUAUAUAUCAGUCAUUCUUAGAUAGUGACUUAAAAGUGUCCCUUCAAAUCGUGUGCUCUCAAUGCAUUCAGACGCUGAUUCAUGAAAAUAUUAUGAUAUCCUCGACACCUGCAUUACAUCUAGCGCGUCAACAGAUAUAUGAAAUGCUGAUGAUAUCAUCGACCCCAGCGUUGUGUCUAGUACAUUAAUAGAUAUUGAAUGAAGAUGAUAUCCUUGAUACCAACAUUGUGUCUAGUGCGUCAACAGAUAUUGAAUGCCUUCUGGGGCAAUGGUAUGAGAUGUCCUAUGAGGCAAUGAUAUGAAAUGGCCCUUGCGGCAAUGAUAUGAGAUUGCCCAGGCAGCAAUGAUAUGUAAUGGCCUUUGCGGCAAUGAUAUGUAAUGGCCUUCACGACAAUGAUAUGCAAUGGCCUUUGUGGCAAUGAUAUGCAAUGGACUUUGCGGCAAUGAUAUGUAAUGGACUUCGCGUAAAUGAUAUGCAAUGGCCUUCGCGGCGAUGAUAUGCAAUGGCCUUUGCGGCAAUGAUAUGUGAUGGCCUUUGAGAAAAUGAUAUGUAAUGGCCUUUGCGGCAAUGAUAUGCAAUGGCCUUUGCGGCAAUAAUAUGUAAUGGCCUUUGCAGCAAUGAUAUGUAAUGACCUUUGUGGCAAUGAUAUGCAGUGGUUCUUUUGCCAAAUUUUAAAAUAAUUUUACCUAACUUCAUUUGUCAGCGUCUUGCUUUCAACAUGUACCUGUACUCAAGGUAGAUGAUUAGUAGACACAAAGUCGCUUUCUCUAGCAGUUAUUUUUAGAAAAAUUCUAAAUACAAUAUUUGUAAAGAAGACAAGACACUUUUGUUUGUCCUCCAUGAUCUCAAGAAAUGAGAUGGACACUUCAAAAGGUCUUCAAUAUAUGGGUACUAAACCCAUUUUUAGGGCUACCCAAAAAUACCAUUCUUGAGCAUUAGUGCUCUGGUUUGGCUCCCAAUUUGCUCGGGGCUUUUUGAAGGAGACUCUCAUUUUUGUGUAUUGCUCCCUGGACCCACAAAAAAUGAUUAGUUUGAGUGAAACUACUCCGUGUUGACCUCCUUCAAUCCUUGACUUGCCCCCCUCCCCCGGCAUAUUUCAGGUACUUUGUCAUGUUGGGACUUCCACCUAUGACUACCCAUACCAAUUGAUGUCUAGGCAAUCACUAAGUUAAAGAUUUAUAUAGAUUUUUUAAAGUAGUUUUAAUUUUUAGAAGAUAGUUUUGAAAGCUUAUAUAAAACUUUAGAAGAUCUCUUCCAUUCAUGUCAUGUAAUAGCUCAACAAACAUCUGCCUCUUGAUUUUAACUAUCUCUGAUGGAGGAUUUCUAAAACUCAUCAUCCUUAUUGGAGGGUUCUUCAAAUAGUUUUGUCACAGCCAGAAAUUAAGUCUACCUAGACUUUGUCACAAUUGGUGGCUUCAAGAGAUUCGCUUAAACCUCCGGUGCUGGGGAAUUUGAAAUAUAUUCCAGUAUUUGGUGGAAAUUUUGAGGCCUCCCUCAAAAUUUCAGUCCCAGUUUAGAGUAGUCUGAGAUGAUAUCAUAUUGAGUGGAUCUGAAGCCUUUGAUGAUCUUCUUUCUCUUUGUUGGAUGUUGAUCUUCUCUUGUGAAUUGUUGAGAUUUCUUCUCAAAAAUUCUGCCCCAGUUUCCAUUUCCUGGGGUUAUAUGACUGAGCCGUUGAGGAGCCUACGUAUCCUGUUGAAGUAGUAAUCAGGUCAAACAUAGUUCAAGCUACGCUAGGGAUAUAUAUAGAAAAAUCUAAUGGGUUGACCGAAGCCAACAUAGGCCGCCUACGUAUCUCAUUCUUGAGAAUUCAAGUCAUCACGUAGUUCAUGCAUAUAGGAAAAGGAUAAAUUUUCCUAAGGGGUUGACCGAAACCGACAUAGGCCACCUACGUAUCCCUUUCUUGGGAAUUCAGGUCAAACGUAGUUCGUACAUAGAGGGAAAGGAUUUUAGGCAGUUACAUAAUAGAAAACAACAUUACUAUGAAUGCGAUUACAAGUAAAUUAACUAAAGAAACACAAAAACUAGAACAUCCUUCAAACAUAAUAUCUCUUUACCACAUCAGAAUUAAUUGGUUUGGUCCACUCUGUGUCAUCCAUCUUAGACAAAAUCAGAGCUCCUCCAGAUAGUACCUUGCAAACUAUGUAUGGCCCUUCCCAGUUUGGAGCGAACAUACCCUUGUACUCCUAUAGGUGAGGGAAUAUUUGUUUGAGAACCAAUUGCCCCACUUCAAAUGCUCAAGCUCUCACAUUCUUGUUAAAGGCACGAACCAUUCUGUGUUGGUACAACUGCCCAUGGCAUAGAGCGGCCAUUCUCUUUUUAUCAAUCAACAUGAGUUGUUCAUAGAGAGCGUGGACCCAUUCUUCGUUACUCAGUCCUGCUUCCUGAAUAAUCCUUAGGAAAGGUAUUUCAACCUCAGCAGGUAUCACAACUUCAUUCCCGUAAACUAGUAACUAGGGAGUUGCCCCGGUGGAGGUUCGAACCAUUGUUUGAUACCCUAGCAAGGCGUAAGGUAACAUCUCAUGCCAUAAUCUAUCAUUUUUUUACCAUUUUUAUCAAGAUCUUCUUGAUAUUCUUGUUGGCAGCCUCCACGGCUCCAUUCAUUUGGGGAUGAUAUACAGUCGAGUUGCGAUCCAUAAUCUUGAACUGAUCACAAAUUUCUUUCAUCAAGUGACUUCUCAAGUUUGCCCCAUUAUCAGUAAUGAUCGAUUUUGGUACUCCGAAUUGGCAAAUCAAGUUAUUCUUGAUGAUAUCUUCAACCACUUUCUUAGUGACGGCUCUGUACGAAGCAGCUUCGACCCACUUAGUGAAAUAAUCAAUGGCAACCAAAAUAAAUCUAUUCCUAUUCGAUGCUAAUGGCUCUAUUGGUCCGAUGACAUCCAUGCCCCAAGCUACGAAAGGCCAAGGCGAGUUUAUUGCGUGAAUCUCGUGUGGAGGCAUUCGAAUAAGAUCUUCGUGUAUUUGACAUUUUGGACAUCUCUGCACAUACUUACUACAAUUAUUUUCCAUAGUCAUCCAGAAGUAACCGGUUCUCAGGAUCUUUCUGGUAAGGAUGAACCCAUUCAUGUGGGGCCCACAAACUCCAGCGUGUACUUUUUUUAUCAGUUUAUCAGCUUCCGCAGCAUUGACUCAUCUUAAGAAUCCCAAAUCAGGAGUCCUCCUAAAAAGGAUUUCUCCAUUUGGAAAAUAGUUCUUUGCCAAAUGCCGGAUCAUCUUCUUUUGGUUGUUACUGGCCUCUUCAGGAUAUAUUCCAGAUUCUAAAUACCUUUUAAUGUCAUAGUACCAAGGAUUUCCAUCAGGCUCCUCUUCAACGUGUGUACAAUGUGCGGGUUGCUCCUUCAAGAUAAUUUCCAAAGGAUCAAUGUAACUCUGAUUUGGGUGCUGAAUCAUGGAAAAUAUAGUGGCCAAAGCAUCAGCAAACUCAUUUUGUAUCCGAGGGAUAUAUCUGAAAUCAACUUCUCUGAAUCUUUCACAUAAUUCUUGCACCAGUUCCACAUAAAGAGUAAUCUUGGGAUUUUUUACUGCCCAUUCUCCCCGUACCUGGUCAAUCAGCAAAUCUAAAUCCCUGAUUACUAACAACUCACAAAAACCUAUAUCAAGUGCCAAUUUGAGACCCAGGAUGCAAGCCUCAUAUUCAUCCAUGUUAUUGGUGCAGUGGAAACAUAACUUUCCAGUUACCAGAUAAUGUUGGCCCAUUUCUAACACCAAAACUGCUCUGAUUCCUGAACCUUUAAAGUUGACUGCCCCAUCAAAGAAUAGCCUCCAUCCGGGGCAAAUCUCUGUGAUAUCUUCCCCUACGAACAAAAUUUUCUCAUCUGGGAAGUAAGUUCGAAGUGGCUCGUAUUCCUCAUCAACUGGAUUUUUUGCCAAAUGAUCCGCUAAGGCUUGCCCCUUGAUUGCCUUCUGGGUUACAUACACAAUGUCAAACUCACUUAGGAAUAUUUGCCACUUGGCUAGCUUUCCUAUAGGCAUGUCCUUCUGAAAAAUAUACUUCAACGGGUCCAUUCUCGAGAUGAGGUAUAUUGUGUAGGACGAUAGAUAAUGCCUUAAGUUUUGUGCUGCCCAAGUCAAAGCACAACAUGCCCUUUCUACAAGAGUGUAAUGGGCUUCAUAUGGCAUGAACUUUUUACUCAAGUAUUAAAUGGCUUUCUCUUUUCUACCGGUCUAAUCAUGUUGCCCGAGGACAAAUCCGAAAGCAUUUUCUGAGACUGACAGGUAAAGCAACAAUGGAAGCAACAAUCGAAUUCCUUCUCUUGGUGGUACCAAAACCGAUGACGUAGACAAAUAUUCCUUGAUACGGUCAAAAACUCUCUGAUAUUCUUCUGUCCACUCAUUCAAUGCAUUUUUCUUUAGCAUCUUGAGAAUUGGAUCGCAUAUGAAUGUCGACUGAGCAAUAAAACGGCUAAUGUAAUUCAAACGACCCAUGAAAAUCAUAACUUCCUUCUUGGUUGUCGGUGGUGGCAAGUCCUGUAUUGUCUUAAUUUUUGAUGGGUAUAACUCUAUGCCUCUUCUGCUGACUAUGAACCCCAGUAACUUCCUUGAUGGCACACCAAAAACACACUUAGCAGGGUUUAAAUUCAAACAGUACUUUCUUAAUCAGUUGAAGAAUCUUUCUAGAUGGGUCAGAUGAUCCGAAAUCUUGCGGGAUUUGAUAAUUACGUCAUCCACGUACACCUCAAUCUCUUUAUGGAUCAUAUCAUAGAAAAUGGUCGUCAUAUCCCUCAUGUAUGUUGCUCCCGCAUUCUUGAGACCAAAUAGCAUUACCCUGUAAUGAUAGACACCCCAAGGCGUAAUAAAAGCCAUCUUUUCUGCAUCUUCCUCAUCCAUCAAUAUCUGAUGAUAACCAGCAAAACAAUCAACAAAAGACUGCAUUUCAUGCUUUGCUCAGUUAUCAAUGAGGAUAUGAAUGUUGGGCAAUGGAAAAUUAUCUUUAGGACUGGCUCUAUUCAAGUUUCUGUAGCCAACACAAAUGCGAAUCUUGCCAUCCUUCUUUGGUAUGGGGAAGAUGUUGGAUAAUCAUGUCGGAUACUUUGUGACCUCUACUGCCGUAGACUGGAUUUAUUUCAUCGCUUCUUCCUUGAUCUUUAAACUUAAGUCUGGCUUGAACUUCCGCAUAUUUUACUUGACUGGAUCAAACUCAGAAUUUAUUGGCAACUUAUGUGACAUAAUGCUGGUGCUAAACCCUGGCAUAUUAUCAUAGGACCGAUCAAACACGUCAAUAUAUUCCCAAAAUAGGUGAAUGAGCUCUCUCUUUUGUGCUUCUGCUAGGUGGACACUGAUGCUUGUUUCUUUGGUUUCAUCAUGAUCUCUGAGGUUGACUGUUUCAGUUUUCUCUAGGUUAGGUUUUUCCCGAUUCUCAAACUCCUCCAUAUCUUCAACUAAUUGUUCCUCAUCACCGUCCUUCCAAUCAUCAUCGUUCCCUUUAUUUUGUUUGUUUAAACUUUGACAUGACCUAACAUUGGCAGAUUUUAAGUUGUUAUUACUAUAAGGGACAAACAAACCAAGUUAGAUGAUGACAAAAUAAUAAAAAAAAUAUACAACUAGGAGUGUUCUAGAAAUAAUAAAAUUUUCUUAAUAGAUGAAGGCCUUUUCAUUGAAAUUUGAGAGCUAAUUACAAAACCAUAGCUCAUGACUUGCGUAAAUACAAGUCCAUGCCUUUUUUAAAGCAGUAAAAUACGAAAAGAAAGUUUUGAGAUAUAAAAGGUGGAUCGCAGGGCCUCUGCCAGAUCAUCACCAAUUUUAAAAACUAUUAGUAAUUUUCCUUUCACCUACCACAACGGGUGACAGGUUAUGAGUGGAGUGGAGGUCCAAUUUUACAAGGCCUUCUCUGGCACCAUCUUCUUCAACCCGCUGGAUUUUGGGAAAUCUUCUGAUACAGCAUUGCAUCCCUCGAACAAAUCUCCUAUCCUAUCCCCAAGACCAUCAUCAUCUGACACCUCUCGUACUGGAAAUGACUGGCACUGGAGUGGCAAGGUACUAAACAAACUUCUCUAUAACUCAUCCUCAACCCUAUCCUUUCUGGUAGGCUGAUAUCCUAACCCAUACUUAGAGCCUCUCUCUGGGAUCUCAAUAGGCUCGACAGUUCCUUGUAAAUUCUUAUCCAAGCCUCGAUCAGGUUCGAACCCAUUUCUUAAUAUCACCGUUGCAAUUAUUUGGUAGACAGAAGGCAUUGGUACUUUGGGCGUUGAAUCUCUGUCUAUGACAUUUACAAUUUCCACUGUAUAGAAACUGCUACCUUUUGGAACAUCUUCAAUCACAGGCACAUAACCAUUGGGAUGAUCCGGUCGACUUUCUUCUCCUUGGAUGACUACUUCAUAAUCCUCCCAAAUGAACUUCAAUAAUUGAUGAAGGGGUGAUGAAACUCUCUUUGCACUGUGUAUCCAUGGUAUUCCCAAGAGCAGGUUGUAGCUAAGAUGGAUAUCCACAACAUGAAACUUAGUCUUGAACUCAGCAGGCCCCAUUUGGAUGUGCAAAUCAAUCUCUCUUAUGGUAUCUCUCUGCCCUCCAUCGAAUGCUCUCAUAUUUACGUGGCUUUGAUGAAUUUUUCCCAGAUCAUAGCCCAUUUGAACCAACGUGGAGAGGGUAAGAAUAUUCACACCAGAUCCAUCAUCUAUUAAUAGCUGAUUAAUUGCAUAAUCAUAACAACUAAUGGUGACAUGCAUGGCUUUGUUGUGCAUCGCCCCUUCAAACGGCAACUCUUCAUCACUGAAUGAUAUGCGAUGAUUCCCCACAAUAUUUCCUAUCAUCGCAGCUAGGUUCUUUACACACGACCCUGCAGGAACAUAUGCUUUAUCUAAGACCUUCAAUAAAGCUUAUCGGUGGUAUUGCAAACUCAUUAAUAGUGCCAAGACAGAGAUUUGAGCUGGUGUCUUCUCUAAAUGUUUGAUAAUUGAAUAAUCUUUGGGUUGCAUACGCCUCUAAAAUUCUUCAGCCUCUCCUUUAGUGAUUGGCCUUCUCUGUGAAUCCCUUUUGUUGGUGAAUUUCUCAGGGAUGUAGCAUCGUCCUGAUCGCAUCAUCCCUUUGGCAGCAACGGUCUGCACAAUAAAUUCUUUUCUUGGCGGGGGAGCGUACACUUGAGUUGGUGCGGUCAUCACUGUAAAUGGGUCUGUCUCAUUGAUACUCAAGGUAUCCACAACCUUCUCUAUCUUUCCUACCUUUUCUGCUCUUUUGCAUUUUUCAUAGUUCACUUGGGUAAUGGUCUUGCCAGAUGCCCAUUUGCCCUCUAUUUCAAUCAUGUUAACUGUAUAUCCCCCAUGGUUGGGCAAUGGAUUACUGUUAACAUUUGGUGUAGGUGCCUGGAGCGUGAUGACUUUUUGAUCGAUUAAAUUCUGGAUCCUAUGUUUCAGGUAGCCACAAUUCUCUGUAUUGUGCCCCGCUGCUCCUGAAUGAUAGGCACAAUGUUGACUUGCAUCAAAAAUUGAGAGUUAGUAUUGACAUGCCUUGGCUGUAUUGGUUGCAAAUAACCAGCAUUCUUCAAUCUUUCAAACAAUUGGGUGCGACUUUCAGCUAGUGAGGUGAAGUUUUAAGGAAGGUUCUUUUCAUGGUUUGGACGUUGGGGGUUGUACUGUCUUUGAUUUGCAGGAGGAGGUACUUGGUGAUAAUUUUGAGGCACUUGGAAAUUUAUGCGGUUAUUUGAAGGAGUGGAUUGGAAAUGAGACUAAUAAUUUGGAGNNNNNNNNNNNNNNNNNNNNNNNNNNNNNNNNNNNNNNNNNNNNNNNNNNNNNNNNNNNNNNNNNNNNNNNNNNNNNNNACGUGCUGAAGGUUGGGUGACGGCGGAGAAGAUAAAACAUUUUUAGAGUUGAUCCUCUUUUUUGUUUUCGUAACAGGAUUAGCAAAAAUCACACCUACAUCUUCCUUUUUCUUCUUUGAGAACAUGACGGUCCCAGAUGACGUUGGGGUUUUGGCAAUUUUCCCUAUUCGAAUACCUUCUUCCAAUGAUGCUUCUAUUUUUACCAAAUCCACAAAAGUUGCCUUGACAGCGGACACCAUCCUGGAGUAAUAUUCUCCUUAUUGAGUGUGAGAGAACACGGAUACGAUUCUCUCCUCGGACAUGGGGGGUUGUACUUUGGCGACUUCUUUCCUCUAACGAAAAGCAUAGUCUCAAAAACGCUCAACAUUUCUCUAUUUGAUCUGAUCUAGUGAAUAUCAGUCAGGGACUAUUUCAAUGUUAAAUGCGAACCGGUCAAGGAAACCUUUGGCUAAUGCUUUCCAACCAGUCCACUUUUUCAGCUCCUGAGACAUGAACCACUCCAACGCUUCGCCACUUAAACUUCGACUGAAUAGGCACAUCAAUAACGCCUCAUUUUUCCCUAUCCCUACCAGUUGCUUACAGUACCUUCUCAGAUGGGCCAUUGGAUUUUCGGUACCAUGAAACAUCUCAAACUUAAGGACUUUGUACCCAUCUAGUAGGUCAACUCCCGGGUGAACACAUAAAUCGUCAUACCCCAAACCAUCGUGGUCCCUGGUUCCAUGAGACUCUUUGAUCCUCACGAUCUUUUCCUUCAUAGCUAGUAAAUUCCUUUUAUAUUAGGUCCUCCACUUUUUCUCCUUCUCCUCGUAAUGGUCCAUCUCGGGGUUAGAAAGAGGUUCAUAAAUAAAAGGGGAUAUGAUGGCUUGAGGGGGAUUCGGAAGGGAGACUUAAUUUUGUGGAUGAAACAAAGUGGGUUCGUAGGUGGGGCGGACAUUAUGAAAAUUAGAAAGGUUUUAUGGAAUUUGAGAGUGAAUUUGGGGAAUCUGAGAAGGAUUUUGCAUAUUUGGAAAUGAAUUUGGUGGAUUCGAAGGUAGGUUUGACGUAUUUUGUGGGUUUGAGAGUGAAUCUUAUGGAUUUGGCAAUGCAUUUUGUUGAUUUAAAAAUGUGUUUUGAGGAUUUGGGAAUGGAUUUGGAGACAGGCGGGGUUAGAGAUGGAUUUUGCGGAGGGUAGGCGUCUGGGUUAUUUUCACGAUUGGUAUUUUGGAAAAAUGGGGGAGCGGAGAUGGACGAUACGUUAUUUGGCUGAUCCCAAAGAGUAGGGGUGCUGAGGGGAGAAAUUUAUAGUGGAGUCCCGUUUCCUCUCUAAGCGAGAGCAUUGACGGUGAUGGCCAAGUUAGCCAAAUCUCGAGUGCGAUUUAUUUCUUCCUGAAGCAUUUCUAACUUUCUUGCAAGUUCCGCAAUCAUCUCAUUUUGUUCUGCUAUCACAUUGUUCCGGUUAGUCAGUGCGCUUUCUUUAUCAUUUCCUAUCAUUUUUGAAUGAUGGUCAGAUGAUGGGUUUUUGUGCACUUUCGAGCGGGUGAAGUAGGGAUGUUCUGCCAGCUUAUAUCAACAUAGAGUAAUUUCUAUUAUCUAUAAAGUAAAACAACUCAAAGGCAGAUGUGUUAGUUUCCGUGUAUGAUAAGUAAUUUAAAAUAUUUGACAGGAAAUAACUACAUAGAGUUGUUUGGGUCAUAGGCAAAUUCAUCCAUAGGAGCAUAGCGGAUAAACUUGCUUUUGAUCCAAACAAGCACACAUGACAGUUAUAUUACACAAAACAUUAUAAUAUUGUGUAUCCUAACAGGGGUUACCCUUUUUGAGCCAAUGGUUCAGGCCUAAUGAUUUUGAAGAAAAUAUAUGCUUUCUUAAAGUCAAUCCGUUAUCCCCCAACUUAUAUAGACACAAAAAGGGCAAAAAUGCCUACAAAAGAUAACGAAAUAGGAAUACAAUCUUUAGGGGGAAAAGGGGAAAAAACCUGAAAGAGGAUAAGUUCCCUUGCAGGGGAAAUAGAAAAACUAGCUACUAGAGGCUCCUUCGUCUGCCUUUGCCUUCUUUGCUUCAUCCAUUUCUUUUAUUGGUGACAUCAGUUGACGUUCAAACUAUGCCUUAGAUGCAACCUCCUAAAUCUAUCAAUUUCUUGCUUAUCUUGCUUCAAUUCUUCUUACAAAAGUAAACAAAUCAAGCUUUUUCCCGACACCCAAAGGAUAAUGGAUUAAAUUUAGACAAGCAUGUAUUUUUUUCAACACAUAAAUAUGAUUCGUCUAUAAUUAGCUCGAGGUCAAUAGAUGCAGGGCAGGUUUUCUAAUGGGCCCAAUACCCCGCUCAGGUAUUGGGUUGUCCUAGGCUCAUGCCUAAAAUAGGCUUUUGGUUUCGUUCUAUCCUCGGUGUCUAAAGUGGGUUUCAACACCAGCUCUCAAGCGGACAACUUGAGUUUGAAAAUACAAACAGCUAUCAGACGACUCACGUGCUAAUAAACUGUUUGUAUUUCCAACACAUUUUUGGAAUUGAUCAAUAGGGGCUAGGAUACCCACGAAACCCCAAAACAAUUUAAAUAAUGUAGGAAUAUGCCAUGAGAUGCAAUAGUUAAACUUUACAAAAUCGAAGCAUAUAAACACAUAAACAGUUAAUCAAAAGAAGAAAUUAAACAAUUGGUUAGAACCUAGUUCAAAAAUCUCCAGCAGUUUGUGAAGAUAUUUUGACUUUUUGAGAAAAGUCGCCACUUAAUUUUGAAAAGGAAUUAAGAAACCUUUAUAAAGUACUUCAAAUGAUUCAAAAUAGGAAAAUCAUUUUAAGUUAGGGAUUCUAGACAAGCGGUUCCUAUUAACGUUUUAGGAAGGUGUUAGGCACCUAAAACGUCCGCUAACUUACGGUUAUCCGAACUGUUCGAAAACAUCUUUGAUUAACUUUCUAAAAUUUGAUUUAUUGAAAAAUGGUUGAAUUUUAGAAAUACUUUGAAAGUUUGCAAAAUUUAAUUUUUAGCGAAUUCAUUAAAGGAUUUGACUAAGUUCGCAAAAAGACAUGCAAAACAAAUAACCAAAAAGAAAGGGGAAGGGAGGAGAAGUAGUGAUUUAGGCUUUGAAGCCCAAAUCGCUAAACCUGUCCUAAUCUAGUAGGGUUAUCAACCCAUUUCUCCUUUCACCUAUCUUAAUUCUAUGUUUUUAAGCCUUUAGAUCGAGUUUUGCCUCCACUUGUAUUAAAUACAAUUUGGCUUCGAGACCUGAAUGAAUAAAUGAGAAAAUAAACAAAUAAAUAAACAAAGAUGAAGAAACAACAAAUGAAAUUUUUGGGUCUUGUAGCCGCUUCUAAUGGGUUUAAUCCUUCUUAUUUUUUUCUUUGACUCCUUGCAAGCGUACUAAUGGGCGUUCAAAGUCUUCCAAGCUGGUGGGCCUCAAUGGCCCAUUGCAAAAAUGUGGAAGGAAGGAGUCCAUUCAGACUCAAAGAAUAAAUUCACAUGCAACAAAGAAAAAGAGGAAAUUAACACAUAUCUAGAAUGCAAAGACAGAAGUAAAGAACUUAACCUAUGUUCGAAAGCUGACACCUAAUGAAUGACUAACUAAAAAAGACAUGGGAAGACAUUAUGGCAUAUAAUAAAAUUCACAUUAGUCUAAUCUCUCUGUUUUCAUUCGGGAACAACUAAUAUGUUGCUAUGAGAAUCUUUUGGCGACCUCAGAUGCUACAAGAAAUAUGUCAUACCAAGGUUCAGGAAGCUAAAGAAAAUUAAAACCAUAUAGUUCACUCCAAGUUUUUAGUAAAUGAAGCAAACAACUUGUAAUUCAAACAUUACACAAGAAAAGUCCGCAUAAAGUAAGAAUAAAAUAUGAAUGAAUCAAUUCGACAAGGAUUGUACAUGGAUCGAAACUCACUAGGCUAGCAUGUGAAUUACUAGCAGUAAACAAGCGUGUUAUGCCAGAAAUAGGGGAGAAGAGAACAAUGAUAACCAAACUCACAAGUGUAUCCCAGGGAGGUAAACCAAUUGGGUGUCAUACUUGUUCGGAAUUAAAAAAAACUCACUUAACUAAACUUUACACAUUUUUAUUUAUGUAUUGAACAAACAUGACAUCAAAAUUCUCAAAAAGGACUAAAUCAGAUUGCUAGACAAGACACGCAAGACAAAUCAAGUUUUGACAGAGAACGGCCUUAAUUCCAAACCCCAAAAGACUUUCGAACAUAUUACUUAGGUGGAAAAAUUAAAAUAUUGGCGUUUAGACAUCAUAGAAGAAUAAAAAGAUCUUCUAUUAUCAAAACAUUCACUGGAUAUUCUAUUUAUUAAAGGAUAUCACAUUUUUGAGAAAAGAAAUCAGAGAAAGGAAAACUACUCAAAACGGACAUUUUAAAGGAUCUUCUUGACAUCUUUGGAGGGUAAACCUUCCGCUUAUUUUGACAUUAGCCAUUAAAGACAACAUGAUGAAUAUUUUAUCUUGUUGAAACAAUGAAAAGACAGGAUGGACCAAACAUGCGUAAGACUCCAAACAUUUUCUACAAAAGAAAAAUCAAAGAGGAUAUGAAAUUUGCACUGCCAGGCCACUAUUUUGAAUGGAUAACAACUAACGGUACAUGAACAAAAUUGUAUCGAGGAAAGACCAAACAACUAGUAAUGACACAACAUCAAAACCGUAAAUUGCCAACUUCCAUCAAUAUGCAGUUUUCUAACCCAUAUAGUCAAACAAAUAGCGACAUAAAACUCAACCCAACAGGUUUUGAUCAAAAUUUAAACAUGCAUUCAAUAAACAUUCUUUUCUUCCUUAGCCGACACAGCUCGCAUAUAAUACAAAAUACAGUUGAAACUACUUGAAAAUCACAACGUGAACAUCAUCGCAACCAAACCUAUGGCCUUCAGGGCCUCUAAAACAUUCAAAACCCAGCCUUAUUCAUGAUUGUCACUAAACAAUUAAACUAAUUCUAUAGACGGAAAAUAAGGGAUGAAGCAGAAAGUGACGAAGCUAAAAGAUCAAGAGUAUGCUCACCUCUUCGGGUGCAGCAAAACAGGGACCCGAGCUAUAAGCCGAAUUUGUCACCACUGGGAAACAAUCCUUCGGGAACUCUAACCCAAAUUGUCAGCUUUGAAAUUUUUUAGCUAAAUCAACAGCUUCAAAGUUUCCAUUUUUACUCAACUAAAAAAAGUCUUUUACUGAUUUUUUGCCCUAAAUGGAUUUUUCCCUUCAAGACCUUAAUGGAGAUAGGUGAAUUUUUCGCUCUUUUACAACUUCCCUUAAAAUUUUGAAACCCCCUAAAAGAAUGAAAACCAAAAAGAAAUCCUCCUGGAGAAAGGAAGAACCCCCUUUAUCGACCAAAAACUUCAAACCCUAGAGAAUAUCGUGAUCUCACCUUCCUCUCCCCUCUUGAACAAAGAACGAAGGUCCUCUUGUAUAGAGGACAAAAUUGGGGCCUUCCGGAUUUGAAAAAAGGAAACCCUCAGAUCUAAAAUUCCCCAAAAAAUUCUCCUCCCAUCCUCAUCUCGUAUCCUCGAUCGUACUCCUUUUGGAUUUUUCUGAGAAAUUUGUGACGGGUGGACCGAUAGGGUUUCGGGAAAAUUCAUCCUUUUCAAGAACCAAUGGAAAGUGUACCAAUAUGUAUGAAAUAGUACCAUUCCAACCGAGAAACGUGGUAUUUAGCCGUUGGAGAGGCCACCUAACCUCGUUUCUAGAAGAUUUGAGGCUUCUCCUUGUACAAAUAUUGCGUGAAACACGUAUGGAGAGAGAAAAAAAUUGAGGGGCUAGGGCUGAGUCGAUUCGAAAAUGGGUUGGAGAUGGGUUAAGGGUCGGGUUUGCUUUGAGUUGUUCAUAGGUUAUAGUGUUGAUUAGAUUAUUGUUUUGAUGAAGAAGAAAAGGAGAUAUGGGAAUGGGCCAGGUCAAUUGAUUUUGGAGUAGGCUUGUGUGAGAUUAAGAGAGAGAAUGGGCUAGGUUGUAAAUUGGGUUUGAAUAACUAUCAAGGUUUUGGGAUUAAUAAUGGGUAUAUUAGGUCAAUUUUGGGGUUAUUUUAGAAAAUAACCUCAAUUGAAUUGGGAAUUGUCUAAAUCUAUUUAAAUUUUGGCCAAAUUGAGAAUAAUUUGGCCCAUUGUAUUGCAACCGGGGCCAAUUUGAUUUCGAUUAUAGCUAGAUUUAACAGAUUAGCCAAAUUAAAUCAAAAUUCGAUACGAAUUUAUAUCUCACUCACUCCCGAGCUUCUCAGUUUAAUACAAUCAAAUGCAUAUUUAUCCAAAUAAAUUAUUUUCGAGAAUAAAUUAUAUUUAAAUUAAGAUUUUAAUUAUUAUUUUUUGAAAUGAUCCUUAAUUGAAAUUUGAUAUUUGUGAAAUAAACAUUUAAGUAAAAAAGUUAUAAUCUCACAUAAUUGAAUGCGAUAAUAUAUAAUUGCUACAUAAAAUGACAAAAUUACGUACAAAGUAUUUUGACAAAAAUUUAUUCGGAUGAAAUAAAUAUUUUAAUUUUAUUAACAACCGAAGAAGAUCAAAAUUGAACUUGGUUGUGGAGGUAAAAAAUUAGAUGUCAACAACUGGCCCCUCCCUUUGGGUAGGGUGGAUGCAAGUAACCCUGGACAAGGGGAGAUCGACGUUCCUAAUUUUUGUCCGACCACAAAUUCAUAUCUGAAAAGGGGUUGGUUUUUUCAUGAUUUUAUGGAGUUAUGGCCGGACCUCGGUAUCAGACUUCCAACAUAUCUCAUAUUACAUGAGAAUUCAGGCCACUUGUAGUUCAUGGAGCUUGAUCUUAAGAACUAUUUUCACGAAAAUUCACCGUCUAUCACGGUUUUAGAGUUUUUGAUAAACCAAGAAGCUGGGGAAUAAAUGGAUUUGGGGGGAGGUUGUAAUGAAGUCGAGUUUUCUACAUAGAUCUCAGCUUACAUAUCCCUAGGAAUCGGAGAAUCAGACUGCUUGUAGUUCGACAUAAUCGGUAUAAAAGAUAGUCUUUUAUUUCAGACGAUCUUUGGGUCAAGAUAAGUGACAAGUUGAUCGAGUUGCGGAAAAGAUGCUUGUAACCUAUUAACCAUGAAUAUGGGAUCCUUCACAUCCAUAGGCAAGAAAUUACCUGGACAUAAUUACCAAAACUCUAAGUGUGUUGCCACCCAAAUUUGAAAAAAAGAGAAGGUUACCCUUGGCAUGAGUUUAGAAAUAUCUCGAAGGUGAAGCUGAGACCAGAACUUCCUAAAAUACCCAUAUGCCUUCUAAUAGAGGCGUGGUUAUAUGGUGGUGGUGAUCAUCAUUUAGCUUACGUCCAGAGAGUUUGACGUCCCUCGCUAGACUAUGUCCCGUUUUACUGCUAAGAAAGAGUUCCACGUUAUGUUGCACCCUUUUUGGAGUCGUCCGCACCUGUGGUUUUGAUUUGAGAUUUUCAUCCUCUUGGAUUCUCUCGACAAUAUCUCAAAUAGAAAUCAUCAGUAAUAAGCACAAUUCACAAAAGUGGUAUGUGGUAUUUUACCAUAUCUCUACGUGAGUUGUUGUCUAAAAAGUGAAUUCAUCUCUUCUUGUACCUGUUUGGAAGAAAUAACUUGUAGUAACAAACACAACAACCUUCUUGAUUGUUUCAUAAUUAGCUUUUUUGUCGAGCGAACAUGUCUUCAAAGUGGGUGGCCCUUUUGGACACCACGAUACUUUAUACAGAACGGUCCCUACAACCGUGUAAUCUUAUGCUGGGGUGGUAACCCUUUUGGUUACCUAUAUCACUUGUUGUACGUGUAGUUCAUGGAGCUUGAUUUUAAGCACAAUUUUCACAAAAAUUCACUGCGUAUCACGGUUUUAGAGUUUUUGAUAAACCGAGAAGCUGGGGAAUAAAGGGUUUUGGGGAGAGGUUGGAAUGAAGUCAAGUUUUCUACAUAGAUCCCAGCUUACAUAUUCCAAGGACUCGGGGAAUCAAACUACUUGUAGCUCGACUCAAUCGGUAGAAAAGAUAGUCUUUUAUUUCUGACGAUCUUUGGCUCAAGAUGAGUGACAAGUUAAUUGAGUUUUGGAAAAGAGGCUUGUAACCUCUUAACCAUGAAUGUGGGAUCUUUCACAUCCAUAGUCAAGAACUUACCAGGACAUAAUUUCCAAAACUCUAAGUGUGUUGCCACCCAAAUUUGAAAAAAAAAAAAGGUUACCCUCGGCAUGAGUUUAGAAAUAUCCCGAAGGUGAAGAUGAGACCAGAACAUCCCAAAAUACCCAUAUACCUUUUAAUAGAGGCGUGGUUAGGUGGUGGUGGUGAUCAUCAUUUAGCUCGCGUCUAGAGAGUUUGACGUCCCUCUCUAGACUAUGUCCCAUUUUGCUGCUAAAAAAGAGUUCCACGUUAUGCUGCGUCCUUUUUGGAGUCAUCUGCACCUGUGGUUUUGAUUUGAUAUUUUCAUCCUCUUGGAUUCUCUCAACAAUAGCUCAAACAGAAAUCAUCAGUAAUAAGCACAAUUCACAAAAGAGGUAUGUGGUAUUUUACCAUAUCUCUACGUGAGUUGUUCUCUAAAAAGUGAAGUCAUCUUUUCUUGUACCUGUUUGGAAGAAAUAACUUGCAGUAACAAACCAAACAACCUUCUUAGUUGUUGGAUAAUUAGCUCGUUUGUCGAGCGACCAUGUCUUCAAAGUGGGUGGCUCUUUUGGACACCGACGAUACUUUAUACAGAAUGGUCCCUACAACCGUGUAAUCUUAUGUUGGUGAGGCAACCCUUUUGGUUACCUAUAUCACUUGUUGUACGUGGAAAAAUAACCUCUCUAGUUAUAGCCGAUGAUCGAUUUGUUAAUUUUCCUUAAAUUGUCAAUCUUUGGAUAAUCUUGCGCAUUAUUUGAUGUUGGAUACGAGGCGACUUACAAAUAUCCUUUGAAUUGCUAGCUUUUAGGUAAUCCUGCAUAUUAUCCAACUUUGGAUAAGAGAUGGAUUACAGAUAUCCCUCCAAUUGCUAGCUUUCAGGUGUUCCGACACAUCAUCCGACCUUGGAUACAAUAUGACAUAUAGAUAAUCUCUCAAAUUGUUAGUCUUUGGGUAAUCCUGCACAUAAUCAAUCUUGGAUAUGACGCGGCUUAUAGAGAACCCUUGGACGUAUCAAUUUGAUAAUCUUGCAUAUUCUUCGAUAAGGAUUUAGUUGCGACUUAUGGAUAACCUUUGAACUAUCAAUUUUUGGGUGAUCUUGCAAACUAUCCGGUUAGGAUGUUGUUGUGGCUUACGGAUGAACUACAGGCUAUCAACUCAUAGGUGAUUUAGUGCACUAUCCUAUUUCAAAUAAUAUGACUUAUAGAUGACCUUCAAAUUGUCAAUUUCCAGGAAAACUUAUAUAUCAGUCAUCCUUAGAUAGUGACUUAAAGGCGUCCCUUCAAAUCGUGUGCUCUCAAUGCAUUCAGAUGCUGAUUCAUGAAAAUAUUAUGAUACCCUCGAUGCCAGGGUUGCAUCUAGCGCGUCAACAGAUAUAUUGAAUGCUGAUGAUAUCCUCGACGCCAGCGUUGUAUCUAGCGCAUCAACAGAUAUUGAAUGACGAUAAUAUCCUUAAUGUCAGUAUUGUGUCUAAUGAGUCAACAGAUAUUGAAUUCCUUCUGGGGUGAUGGUAUGAGAUGGACUUUGUGGCAAUGAUAUGAAAUGGCCCUCGCGGCAAUGAUAUGCGAUUGCCCUAGCGGCAAUGAUAUGUAAUGGCCUUAGUGGAAAUGAUAUGUAAUGGCCUUUGCGGCAAUGAUAUGUAAUGGCCUUCGCAGCAAUGAUAUGUAAUGGCCUUCGCGGCAACAAUAUCCAAUGGCCUUCACGGCAAUGAUAUGCAAUGGCCUUUGCGACAAUAAUAUGUAAUGGCCUUUGAGACAAUGAUAUGUGAUGGCCUUUGCGACAAUGAUAUGCAAUGGCCUUUGCGGCAAUAAUAUAUAAUGGCCUUUGAGGCAAUGAUAUGUAAUGGCUUUUACGGCAAUGAUAUGCAGUGGCCCUCUUGGCAAAUUUUAAAAUAAUUUUACCUGACUUCAUUUGUCAGCGUCUUGCUUUCUACAUGUACCCGUACUUAAGAUAGACGAUUAGUAGACACAAAGUCGCUUUUGCUAGCGACUAUUUUUAGAAAAAUUCUAAUACAAUAUUUGUAAAGAAGACAAGACUCUUUUGUUUGUCCUCCAUGAUCUCAAGAAAUGAGAUGGACACUUCAAAAGGUCUUCAAUAUAUGGAUACUAAACCCAUUUUUAGGGCUACCCAAAAAUACCAUUCUUCAGCAUUAGUGCUCUGGUUUGGCUCCCAAUUUGCUCGGGGCUUUUUUAAGGAGACUCUCAUUUUUGUGUAUUGGUCCCUGGACCCACAGAAAAUGAUUAGUUUGAGUGAAACUACUCCGUGUUGACCUCCUUCAAUCCUUGAUUUUCCCCCCUCCCCCGACAUAUUUCAGGUACUUUGUCAUGUUGGGACUUCCACCUAUGACUACCCAUCCCAAUUGAUGUCUAGGCAAUCACUAAGUCAAAGAUUUAUAUAGAUUUUUUAAAGUAGUUUUAAUUUUUAGAAGAUAGUUUUGAAAGCUUAUAUAAAACUUUAGAAGAUCUCUUCCAGUCAUGUCAUGUAAUAGCUCAACAAACGUCUGCCUCUUGAUUUUAACUAUAUCUGAUGGAGGAUUUCUAAAACUCAUCAUCCUUAUUGGAGUGUUCUUCAAAUAGUUCUGUCAUAGCCAGAAAUUGAGUCUACCUAGACUUUGUCACAAUUGGUGGCUUCAAGAGAUUGGCUUAAACCUCCUGGGGAAUUUGAAAUAUAUUCCAGUAUUUGGUGGAAAUUUUGAGGCCUCCCUCAAAAUUUCAGUCCCAGUUUAGAGUAGUCUGAGAUGAUAUCAUCUUGAGUGGAUCUGAAGACUUUGCUGAUCUUCUUUCUCUUUGUUGGAUGUUGAUCUUCUCUUGUGAAUUGUUGAGAUUCCUUCUCCAAAAUUCUGCCCCAGUUUCCAUUUCCUGGGGUUAGAUGACUGAGCCGUUGAGGAGCCUACGUAUCCCGUUGAAGCAGUAAUCAGGUCAAACAUAGUUCAAGCUAUGCUAGGGAUAUAUAUAGAAAAAUCUAAUAGGUUGACCGAAGCCGACAUAGGCCGCCUACGUAUCUCAUUUUUGAGAAUUCAAGUCAUCACGUAGUUCAUACAUAAAGGAAAAGGAUAAAUUUUCCUAAGGGGUUGACCGAAGCCGACAUAGGCCACCUACGUAUCCCUUUCUUGGGAAUUCAGGUCAAACGUAGUCCGUACAUAGAGGGAAAGGAUUCUAGGAAGUUACAUACUAGAAAACAACAUUACUACGAACGUGAUUACAAGUAAAUUAACUAAAGAAACACAAAAACUAGAACAGCCUUCAAACAUAAUAUCUCUUUACCACAUCAAAAUUAAUUGGUUUGGUCCACUCUGUGCCAUCCAUCUCAGACAAAAUCAGAGCUCCUCCAUAUAGUACCUUGCGAACUAUGUAUGGACCUUGCCAGUUUGGAGCGAACUUUCCCUUGUACUCCUCUUGGUGAGGUAAUAUUAGUUUGAGAACCAGCUUCCCCACUCCAAAUGUUCGAGCUCUCACAUUCUUUUUAAAGGCACAAACCAUUCUGUGUUGGUACAGCUGCCCAUGUCAUUGAGCGACCAUUCUCUUUUCAUCAACAAUAUGAGUUGUUCAUAGCGAGUGCAGACCCAUUCUCUGUUACUCAGUCCAGCUUCCUGAAUAAUCCUUAGGGAAGGUAUUUCAACCUCAGCAGGUAUCACAACUUCAUUCCCGUAAACCAGUAAAUAGGGAGUUGCCCCGGUGGAGGUUCAAACCGUUGUUCCAUACCCUAUCAAGGCAUAAGGUAACAUCUCAUGCCAUGAUCUAUCAUUUUCGACCAUUUUUCUCAAGAUCUUCUUGAUAUUAUUGUUGGAACCCUCCACGGCUCCAUUCAUUUGGGGACGAUAUGCAGUCGAGUUGCGAUGCACAAUCUUGAACUGAUCACAAAUUUCUCAUCAAGUAACUGUUCAAGUUUGCCCCAUUAUUAGUAAUGAUCGAUUCCGGCACUUCGAAUCGGCUAAUCAAGUUAUUCCUAAUGAAAUCUGCAACCACUUUCUUAGUGACGGCUCUGUACGAAGCAGCUUCGACCCACUUAGUGAAAUAAUCAAUGGCAACCAAAAUAAAUCUAUGCCCAUUUGAUGCUAAUGGCUCUAUUGGUCUGAUGAAACCAAUGCCCCAAGCUAAGAAAGUCCAAGGCAAAUUCAUUGCAUGAAGCUCGUGUGUAGGCAUUCGAAUCAGAUCUCUGUGUAUUUGACAUUUUGGACAUCUUUGCACAUACUUACUACAAUCAUUUUCCAUAGUCAUCCAGAAGUAACCAGUUCUCAGGAUCUUUCUGGCAAGGACGAACCCAUUCAUGUGGGGCCCGUAAACUCCAGCAUGUACUUCUUUUAUCAGUUUAUUGGCUUCCGCAGCAUCGAUUCAUCUUAAGAAUCCCAAAUCAGGAGUCCUCCUAAAAAGGAUUUCUCCAUUUGGAAAAUAGUUCUUUGCCAAACGCCGGAUCAUCUUCUUUUGGUUUUUACUGGCCUCUUCAGGAUAUAUUCCAGCUUCCAAAUACCUUUUAAUGCCAUAGUACCAAGGCUUUCCAUCAGGCUCCUCUUCAAGGUGUGUACAAUGCACGGGUUGCUUCUUCAAGCUGAUUUCCAAAGGAUCAAUGUAACUCUGAUCUGGGUGAUGAAUCAUGGAAGAUAUAGUGGUCAAAGCAUCGGCAAACUCAUUUUGUAUCCGAGGGAUAUGCCUGAAAUUAACUUCACAGAAUCUUUUACAUAAUUCUUGCACUAGCUUCACAUAAGGAGUAAUCUUGGGAUUUUUUACUGUCCAUUCUCCCCGUACCUGGUGAAUCAGCAAAUCUGAAUCACCGAUGACUAACAACUCAUAAACACCCAUACAAGUGCCAACUUGAGACCCAGAAUGCAAGCCUCAUAUUCAGCCAUGUUAUUGGUGCAGGGGAAACGCAACUUUGCAGUUACCGGAUAAUGUUGGCCCGUUUCUGACACCAAAAUUGCUCUAAUUCCUGAACCUUUAAAGUUGACUGCCCCAUCAAAGAAUAGCCUCCAUCCGGGGUAAAUCUCUGUGAUAUCUUCCCCUACGAACAAAAUUUCCUUUUCUGGGAAGUAAGUUUGAAGUGGCUCGUAUUCCUCAUCAACUGGAUUUUCUGCCAAAUGAUCCGCUAUGGCUUGCCCCUUGAUUGCCUUCUGGGUUACGUACACAAUGUCAAACUCACUCAGGAAUAUUUUCCACUUGGCUAGCUUUCCUGUAGGCAUGUCCUUCUGAAAAAUAUACUUCAAUGGAUCCAUUCUCAAGAUGAGGUUUGUUGUGUAGGACGACGGAUAAUACCUCAACUUUUGUGUUGUCCAAGUCAAAGCACAACAUGUCCUUUCUACAAGAGUGUAAUGGGCUUUAUAUGGCGUGAACUUUUUACUCAAGUACAAAAUGGCUUUCUCUUUUCUGCCGGUCUCAUCAUGUUGCCCGAGGACACAUCCAAAAGAAUUUUUUGAGACUGAUAGGUAAAGCAACAAUGGAAUUCCUUCUCUUGGUGGUACCAAAACCGGCGGCACAGAUAAAUAUUCCUUGAUGCGGUCAAAAUCUCUCUGACAUUCUUCUGUCCACUCAUUCAAUGCAUUUUUCUUCAGCAUCUUGAGAAUUGGUUCGCAUAUAUCUGUCGACUAAGAGAUAAACCAGCUAAUAUAAUUCAAAUGACCCAUGAAACUCAUAACUUCCUUCUUGGUUCUCGGCGGUGGCAAGUCCUGUAUUGUCUUAAAUUUGGAUGGGUCUAACUCUAUGCCUCUUCUGCUGACUAUGAACCCCAACAACUUCCCUGAUGGCACACCAAAAGAACACUUAGUAGGGUUUAAUUUUAAACUGUACUUUCUUAAUCUGUUGAAGAAUUUUUCUAGAUGGGUCAGAUAAUCCGAACUCUCGUGGGAUUUGAUAAUUACGUCAUCCACGUACACCUCAAUAUCUUUAUGGAUCAUAUCAUGGAAAAUGGUUGUCAUAGCCUUCAUAUAUGUUGCACCCGCAUUCGUGGGACCAAACGGCAUUACCCUGUAAUGAUAGACACCCUAAGGCGUAAAUAAAGCCGUCUUUUCUGCAUCUUCCUCAUCCAUCAAUAUCUGAUGAUAGCCAGUAAAACAAUUAAUAAAAGACUGUAUUUCAUUCUUUGCACAUUUAUCAAUGAGGAUAUGAAUGUUAGGCGAUGGAGAAUUAUCUCUAGGACUAGCUCUAUUCAAGUCUCUGUAGUAAACACAAAUGCGAAUCUUGCCAUCCUUCUUUGGCACAGGGACGAUGUUGGCUAACCACGUUGGAUUCUUUGUGACCUCUACUACCUUAGACUGGAUUUGUUUCAUCACUUCUUCCUUGAUCUUUAAACAUAAGUCUGGCUUGAACUUUCGCAUUUUUUACUUGACUGGAUCAAACUCAGAAUUUAUCGAUAACUUAUGUUACACAAUGCUGGUGCUCAACCCUGGUAUAUUAUCAUAGGACCAAGCAAACACGUCAAUAUUUUCCCGCAACAGGUGAAUGAGCUCUCUCUUUUGUGCUUUCACCGGGUGGACACUGACGCUUGUUUCUUUGGUUUCAUCAUGAUCUCCGAGGUUGACUGUUUCAAUUUCCUCCAGGUUGGGUUUUUCCCAAUUCUCAAACUCCUCCAUAUCUUUAACUAAUUGUUCCUCAUCACCGUCCUUUCAAUCAUCAUCGUUCCCUUCAUUUUGUUUGUUUAAACUUUGACAUGACAUGACAUUGGAAGAUUUUAAGUUUUUGUUACUGUAAGGGACAAACAAACCAAGUUAGAUGAUGACGAAAUAAUAACAAAAUAUAUGACUAGGAGUUUUUAGAAAUAAUAGAUUUUUCUAAAUAGAUAAAGGCCUUUUCAUUGAAAUUUGAGAGCUAAUUACAAAACCAUGGCUCAUGACUUGCGCAAAUACAAGUCCAUGCCUUUUUUAAAGAAGUAAAAUAUGAAAAGAACUUUUGAGAUAUAAAAGGUGGAUCAUGGGGCCUCCACCGGAUCAUCAUCAAUUUUAAGAACUAUUAGUAAUUGCACUUUCACCUACCACGGCGGGCGACGAGUUAUGAGUACAGUGGAGGUCUAAUUUUGUAAGGCCUCCCCUGGUGUCAUCUUCUUCAACCCACUGGAUUUUGGGAAAUCUUCUAAUAUAGCAUUGCAUCCCUUGAACAAAUCUCCUAUCCUAUCCCCAAGACCAUCAUCAUCUGACACCUCUCGUAUAGGAAAUGACUGGCACAGGAGUGGCAAGGGCCUAAACAAAAUUUUCUCUGACUCAUCCUCAACCCUAUCUUUCCUGGUAGGCUGAUAUCCUAACCUAUACUUAGAACCUCUCUCUGAGAUCACAAUAGGCUCGACAAUUUCUUCUAAAUUCUUGCCCAAUCAUUGACCAGGUUCAAACCCAUUUCUUAACAUCAUCGUUGUAAUCAUUUUGUAUAUAGAAGGCAUUGGUACUUUGGGCGUCGAAUCCCUAUCCACAGUAUUUAAAAUUUCCACUGUAUAGAAACUGUUACCUUUUGGAACAUCUUCAAUCAUCGGCACAUAACCAUUGGGAUGAUCCGCUAGACUUUCUUCUCCUUGGAUGACUACUUCAUGAUCCUCCCAAAUGAACUUCAAUAAUUGAUGAAGGGGUGAUGAAACUGCCUUUUCACUGUGUAUCCAUGGUCUUCCCAAGAGUAGGUUGUAGCUAGGAUGGAUAUCCACAACAUAAAACUUAGUCUUGAACUCAGCAGGGCCCAUUUGGAUGUGCAAAUCAAUCUCACCUAUGGUAUCUCUCUGCCCUCCAUCGAAUGCUCUCACAUUUACGUGGCUUUGAUGAAUUUUUCCCAAAUCAUAUCCCAUUUGAACCAACGUGGAGAGGGGAGAAAUAUUCACACCAGGUCCGUCAUCUAUUAAUACCUGAUUAAUUGCAUAAUCUCAACAAAUGACGGUGACAUGCAUGGCUUUGUUGUGCAUCGCCCCUUCAAACGGCAACUCUUCAUCACUGAAUGAUAUGUGAUGAUUUCCCAAAAUAUUUCCUAUCAUCGUAGCUAGGUUCUCAACACUCGUCCCUGCGGGAACAUAUGCUUUAUCCAAGACCUUCAAUAAAGCUUGUCGGUGGUAUUGGAAACUUAUUAAUAGUGCCAAGACAGAGAUUUGAGCUGGUAUCUUCUCUAAAUGUUUGACAAUUGAAUAAUCUUUGGGUUGCAUAUGCCUCCAAAAUUCUUGAGCCUCUCCUUCAGUGAUUGGCCUUCUCUAUAAAUCUAUUUUAUUGGUCAAUUCCUUAGGGAUGUAGCAUCGUCUCGAUUGUGUCAUCUUUUGGGCAGCAGCGUUCUGCACAAUAAAUUAUUUCCUUGGUGGGGGAGCGUACACUUGAGUCGGUGCGGUCAUCAAUGUAAAUGGGGGUUUCUCGUUGAUACUUAAGGCAUCCACAACCUUCUCUAUCUUUCCUACCUCUUUCGUUUUUUUGCAUUUUUCGUAGUUCACCUGAGUAAUGGUCUUGCCAAAUGCCCAUUCGCCCUCUAUUUCAAUCAUGUUAACUGUAGAUCCCCCAUGGUUGGGCAAUGGAUUACUGUUAAUAUUUGGUGUAGCUGCCUGGAGCAUGAUGACCUUCUAAUCGAUUAAAUUCUGGAUCCUAUGUUUUAGGUAGCCACAAUCCUCUGUAUUGUGACCCGUUGCUCCUGAAUGAUAGGCACAAUUUUGACUUGCAUCAAAAAAUCAAGAGUUUGGAUAGACAUGCCUUGGCUGUAUUGGUUGCAAAUGACCAGCAUUCUUCAAUCUUUCAAACAAUUGGGUAUGACUUUCAGCUAGUGGGGUGAAGUUUUGGGGAGGUUUCUUUUCGUGGUUUGAACUUUGGGGGUUGUACUAGAUUUGGUUCGUAGGAGGAGGUACUUGGUGAUAAUUUGGAGGAACUUGGAAAUUUGUUCAUUUAUUUGGAGGAGUGGAUUGGAAAUGAGACUGACAAUUUGGAGGUGGAGCUGGGUAUUGGGGAAAGAUAUUUGGCUGUAGAGCUUGGUAUGAGGAUUGGAUGUUUGGGAGUGGAGUUUGGUACUAAGGUUGUGCAUUUGAGAGUAGAUCUAGGUAUUGGGGGUAGCCGUAGAAUACGUGCUGAAGGUUGGGUGACGGCGGAGAAGAUAAAACAUUUUUAGAGUUGAUCCUCUUUUUUGUUUUCGUAACAGGAUUAGCAAAAAUCACACCUACAUAUUCCUUUUUCUUCUUCGAGAACAUGACAGUCCCAGAUGAUGUUGGGGUUUUGGCAAUUUUCCCUAUUCGAAUACCUUCUUCCAAUGAUUCUCCUAUUUUUACCAAAUCUGCAAAAGUUACCCUAACAGCGGACACUAUCUUGGUAUCAUAUUUCUUUAUUGAGUGCGAGAGAAUGCGGAUACCAAUUCCUCCUCGGACAUGCGGGGUUGCACUUUGGCGGCUUCUUUCCUCCAACAAAAAGCAUAGUCUUGAAAACUCUCAGCAUUCCUCUGUUUGAUCCGAUCUAGUAAAUAUCGGUUAGGGACUAUUUCAAUGUUGAAUGCAAACCGGUCAAGGAAACCUUUGGCCAAUGCUUUCCAACCAGUCCACUUUUUCGGCUCUUGAGACAUGAACCACUCCAAAGCUUCGCCACACAAACUUCGACUGAAUAGGCACAUCAAUAACGCCUCAUUUCUCCCUAUCCCUACUAGCUGCUCAUAGUACCUUCUCAGAUGGUCCAUUGGAUUUUUGAUACCGUCAAACAUCUCAAACUUAGGUACUUUGUACCCAUCUAGUAGGUCAACUUCCAGGUGAACAUAUAAAUCAUUAUACCCCAAACCGUCGGGGUUCCUGGUUCCAUGAGACUCUUUGAUCCUCAUGAUCUCUUCCUUCAUAGCUAGUAAAUUCCUUUCAUGUUGGGUCCUCCACUCUUUCUCCUUCUCCUUGUAAUGGUCCAUCUCGGUGUUAGGAAGAGGUUCAUAAAUAUCAGGAGAUAUGAUGGCUUGAGGGGGAUUUGGAAAGGAGACUUGAUUUUUUGGAUAAAACGAAGUGGGUUGGUAGGUGGGGCAGACGUUAUGAAAAUUAGAAAGGUUUUAUGGAAUUUGAGAGUGGUUUGGUGGAAUCUGAGAAGGAUUUUGCAUAUUUGAAAAUGAAUUUGGUCGAUUCGAAGGUAGGUUUGACGUAUCAUGUGGGUUUGAGAGUGAAUCUUACGGAUUUGGGAAUGCAUUUUGUUGAUUUAAAAAUGUGUUUUGAGGAUUUGGGAAUGGAUUCGGAGACGGGUUUUGUGGGGUUAGAGAUGGAUUUUGCAGAGGGUAGGCGCCUGGGUUAUUUUCACGAUUGGUAUUUUGGACAAAUGGGGGAGCGAAGACGGACGAUACGUUAUUUGGCUGAUCCCCAAGAGUAGGGGUGCUGAGGGGAGAAAUUUGUAGUGGAGUCUGGUGUCCUCCCGAAGCGGGAGCAUUGACGGUGAUGGCUAAGUUAGCGAAAUCCCGAGUGCAAUUUAUUUCUUCCUGAAGCAUUUCUAACUUUCUUGCAAGUUUCGCAAUCAUCUAAUUCUGUUCCGCUAUCAAAUUGUUCUGGAUAGUCAGUGCGCUUUCUUCAUCAUUUCCUGUCAUUUUUGAAUGAUGGUCAGAUGAUGAGAUUUUGUGCGCUUUCGAUUGGGUGAAGUAGGGAUGUUUCUGCCAGCUUAUAUCAACACGGAGUAAUUUCUAUUAUCUGUAGGCAGAUGUGUUAGUUUCCGUAUAUGAUAAGUAAUGCAAAAUAUUUGACAAGAAAUAACCACAUAGAGUUGUUUUGGUCAUAGGCAAAUUCAUCCAUAGGAGCAUAGAGGAUAAACUUGCUUUUGAUCCAAACAAGCACACAUGAUAGUUAUAUUACACAAAACAUUAUAAUAAUGUGCAUCCUAAAUAGGGUGACCCUUUUUGAGCCAAAGGUUCAGGCCUAACAAUUUUGAAGAAAAUAUAUGCUUUCUUAAAGUCAAUACAUUAUCCCCCAACUUAUAUAAACACGAAAAGGGAAUAAAUGCCUACAAAAUAUAAUGAAAGAGGAAUACAAUCUUUAGGGAAAAAAAGGGAAAAAACAUGAAAGAGGAUAAGUUCCUGCACAGGGGAAAUAGAUAAACUAGCUACUGGAGGCCCCUUCGUCUGCCUUUGCCUUCUUUGCCUCGUCCACUUCUUUUAUUGGUGACAUCUAUUGACGUUCAAACUGUGCCUUAGAUGCAAUCUCCCAAAUCGAUCAAUUUCUUGCUUAUCUUGCUUCAAUUCUUCUUACAAAAGUAAACAAAUCAAGCUUUUUCCCGACACCUAAAGGAUAAUGGAUUAAAUUUAGACAAGCAUGUAUUUUUUUCAAUACAUAAAUAUGAUUCGUCUGUAAUUAACUCGAGGUUAAUAGAUGCAGGGCAGGUUUUCUAAUGGGCCCAAUACCCCGCUCGGGUAAUGGGUUGUCCUAGGCUCAUGCCUAAAAUAGGAUUUUGGUUUCGUUCUAUCCUUGGUGUCUAGAGUGGGUUUGAACACCAGUUCUCAAGCGGACAACUUGAGUUUGGAAAUACAAACAGCCAUCAGACAACUCACGCGCUUAUAAACUGUUUGUAUUUCCAACACAGUUUUGGAAUUGAUCAAUAGGGGUUAGGAUACCCACGAAACCCCAAAACAAUUUAAAUAAUGUAGGAAUAUGCCAUAAGAUGCGAUAGUUAAACUUUACAAAAUCAAAACAUAUAAACACAUAAACAGUUAAUCAAAUAAAGAAAUCAAACAAUUGGUUAGAACCUAUUUCAAAAAUCCCCAGCAGAGUCGCCAUUUCUGUUUUGCGGAGAAAUUGACUUUUUGAGAAGAGUCGCCACUUAAUUUUGAAAAGGAAUUAAGAAACCUUUAUAAAGUACUUCAAACGAUUCAAAAUAGGAAAAUCAUUUUAAGUUAGAGAUUCUAGAUAAGCGGUAAUUCUUAACGUUUUAGGAAGGUGUUAGACACCUAAAACGUCCGCUAACUUGCGGUUAUCCGAACUGUUUGAAAACAUCUUUGAUUAACUUUCUAAAAUUUGAUUUAUUGAAAAAUGGUUGAAUUUUAGAAAUACUUUGAAAGUUUGCAAAAGUUAAUUUUUAGUGAAUUCAGUACGGGAUUUGACUAGGUUCGCAAAAAGGCAUGCAAAACAAAUAAUCAAAAAGAAAGGGGAAGGGAGGAGAAGUAGUGAUUUAGGCUUUGAAGCCCAAAUCGCUAAACCUGUCCUAAUCUAGUUGGGUUUUCAAUCCAUUUCUCUUUUCAGUUGUCUUAAUUCUAUGUUUUUGAGCCUUUAGCUCGAGUUUUGCCUCCAGCUGUAUUAAAUACUACUUUGACUUCGAGGCCCGAAUGAAUAAAUGAGAAAAUAGAUAAAUAAAUAAACAAAGACGACGAAAUAACAAAUGAAAUUUUUGGGUCUGGUAGCUACUUCAAAUGGGUUUAAUCCUUCUUAUUUUUUUCUUUGACUCCUUGUGAUCGUACUAAUGGGCGUUCAAAGUCUUCUAAACUGGUGGGCCUCAACGGCCCAUUGCAAAAAUAUGGAAGGAAGGAGUCCAUUAAGACUCAGAGAAUAAAUUCACAUGCAACAGGGAAAAAAGAGGAAAUUAACACAUAUCUGGAAUGCAAAGACAGAAGUAAAGAACUUAACCUAUGUUCGAAAGCUGACACCUAAUGAAUGACUAACUAAAAAAGACAUGGGACGGCAUUAUGGCAUAUAAUAAAAUUCACAUUAGUCUAAUCUCUAUGUUUUCAUUUGAGAACAACUAAUAUGUUGCUAUGAGAAUCUUUUGGCGACCUCAGAUGCUACAAGAAAUAUGUCGUUCCAAGGUUCAGGAAGCUAAAGAAAAAUAGAACCAUAUAGUUCACUCCACGUCUUUAGUAAAUGAAGCAAACAACUUGUAAUUCAAACAUUACACAAGAAAAGUCCGCAUAAAGUAAGAAUAAAAUAUGAAUGAAUCAAUUCGACAAGGAUUGUACAUGGAUCGAAUCUCACUAGGCUAGCAUGUGAAUUACUAGAAAUAAACAAGCGUGUUAUUCCAGAAAUAGGGGAGAAGAGAACAAUGAUAACCAAACUCACAAGUGUAUCCCAGGGAGGUAAACCAAUUGGGUGUCAUACUUUUUUGGAGUUAAAAAAAAAACUUGCUUAACUAAAAUUUACACAUUUUUAUUUAUGCAUUGUACAAACAUGACAACAAAAUUCUCAGAAAGGACUAAAUCAGACUGCUAGAUGAGAUACGUGAGACAAAUCAAGUUUUGACAGACAACGGCCUUAAUUCCAAACCCCAGAAGAUUUUCGAACAUAUUACUUAGGUGGAAAAAUUAAAAUAUAGGAGUUUAGACAUCACGGAAGAAUGAAAAGAACUUCUAUUAUCAAAACAUUCACUGGAUAUUCAAUUUAUUAAAGGAUAUCACAUUCUUGAGAAAAGAAAUCAGAGAAAGGAAAACUACUCAAAAUGGACAUUUUAAAGGAUCAUCUUGACAUCUUUGGAGGGUAAACCUACCUCUUCUUUUGACAUUAGCCAUUAAAGACAACAUGAUGAAGAGUUUAUCUUGUUGAAACAAUGAAAACACAGGAUGGACCAAACAUGCGUAAGACUCCAAACAUUUUCUACAAAAGAAAAAUCAAAGAGGACAUGAAAUCUGCACUGCCAGGCCACGAUAUCGAAUGGAUAACUACUAACGGUACAUGAACAAAAUUGUAUCAAGGAAAGACCAAACAACUAGGAAUGACACAACAUCAAAAACGUAAAUUGCCAACUUCCAUCAAUAUGCAGUUUUCUAACCCAUAUAGUCAAACAAAUAGGGACAUAAAACUCAACCCAACAGGUUUUGAUUAAAAUUUAAACAUGCAGUCAAUAAACAUUCUUUUCUUCCUUAGCCGACACAGCUCACAUAUAAUACAAAAUACAGCUGAAAUUACUUGAAUAUCACAACGUGAACAUCAUCACAACCAAACCUAUGGCCUUCAGGGCCUCUAAAAUAUUCAAAACCCAGCCUUAUUCAUGAUUGUCACUAAACAAUUAAACUAAUUCUAUAGAGGGAAAAUAAGGGAUGAAGCAGAAAGUGACGAAGCUAAAAGAACAAGAGUAUGCUCACCUCUUCGGGUGCAGCAAAACAGGGACCCGAGCUAUCAGCCGAAUUUGUCACCACUAGGAAACAAUCCUUCGGGGACUCUAACCCAAAUUGUCAGCUUCAAAAUUUUCUAGCUAAAUCGACAGCUUCAAAGUUUCCAUUUUUACUCAACUAAAAAAAGACUUUUACUGAUUUUUUGCCCUAAAUCGAUUUUCCCCCUUCAAGACCUUAAUGGUGAAUUUUUCGCUCUUUUACGACUUCCCUUAAAAUUUUGAAACCCCCUAAAAGAAUGAAAACCAAAAAAAAAAUCCUCCUGGAGAAAGGAAGAACCCCUUUAUCGACCAAAAACUUCAAACCCUAGAGAAUAUCGUGACCUCCCAUUCUUCUCCCCUCUUGAACAAAGAACGAAGGUCCUCUUAUAUAGAGGACAAAAUUGGGGCCUUCCAUAUUUGAAAUAAGGAAACCCUCAGAUCUCAAAUUCCCCAAAAUAUUCUCCUCCCAACCCCGUCUCUUAUCCUUGAUCGUAUCCUUUUGGAUUUUUCUGAGAAAUUUGUGACGGGUGGACCAAUAGGGUUUGGGAAAAAUUCAUCCUUUUCAAGAACCAAUGGAAAGUGUACCAAUAUAUACGAAAUAGUACCAUUCCAACCGAGAAACGCGGUAUUGAGCCAUGGGAGAGGCCACCUAACCUUGUUUCUAGAAGAUUUGAGGCUUCUCCUCGUACAAAUGUUGCGUGAAAUGCGUGUGCAGAGAGAAAAAAUACUGAUGGGCUAGGGUUGAGUCGAUUCGAAAACGGGUUGGAGGCGGAUUAAGGGUCGGGUUUGCUAUGAGUUGUUC